AGUUGAAAGGUGAAACUGUAUGGAAACCCCUUAAGUUUAGACUAUUUUGAAACUAGUGCCGUAGCUGUGUAGCUUUCGUUGAUUAAGAUAUCUUAAAAAAUUUAAUUUAAAUAAAUUAUUAAGUUAAAAAUAGUGCAUAAUUCAGAUAAGCGGUGUACACUUUUACCUGCAUUUCUGCAAAUCUCUUUCAAACCUCUGCUACAAAGUACAAUCGAUUAUAUCAAUAACUGUGUUCGUUCGUUCAUUCAACAAACCACCCGUGCAAAACAAGGGGAAAAAAAUAUUUACAACACCAACCGCUACACAAUCUCAAGGUACAAAAUCAAUCAUCAUCAUGAACUCACCGCUUCUGUUGCUGUUGCGUCGACGAGAUGCAGCUCCACCUCCUCCCUCCACUCCACCCACCGGCUCUCGUAGUACCCGCUCUUAACUUCGUUCGGAAAGUNACCCGCCACGUCACCGCCCCCUCCCCGACCCCCGCCUCGUCACCCGCCGCCACCACCGCUCCCGCCUUGGUCAGCGCCCGCCCGGGCCCACCGCACCGCCGUCGCAUCCCGGCGCGUGGGUCCCCACCGGGGCCAGCCCCCGGCGUCCACGUGGCAACCUCGGCCCCGGUGGCGAAGUCGCAGAGGACGCCCUCGAAGACCGCGGCGGCGCCCUCGGCGUCCUGGUCCCACCGCCAGCUGCGCCCGCGCGUGCGCGCCGCCGCGCGGGCCUUCGCCUUCACCCCCGCCGCGCGCUUGGUGGGGCCGCCGCCGCUCGCGAAGCUGCCCUUCACGGUGCGGGUCGUCUCCACCUCGCGCUCCGGGUUCCCGGUCGACCGGCCCAGGCUCGGCCCGGUCGCGUAGGCCGCGCCCGGCUCGGGCCCGACCCAGACCCGGAUCCGCGACGGGAAGUGGCGCUCCCCGUCCACGUCGUCGUCGUCGUCGUCGGUUUCCUCCUCGUCGUCGUCGUCGUCGUCGGUUUCCUCCUCCUCGUCCUCCUCGCGGUGGUCGUGGUCCCCUCGCGUGCCGCAGCCGAGGCGCGCCACGUGGACGCGUAUGUUGACGACGCGUACCCCGACGAGGAUGAAGCGCGGGUCGCGCAUGGAGACGGAGUACUCGAGCUGGACCGCGGCCUCGAGCUGCUGGUGCGCCAGCGCGUACCGCAGCGCCGCGUCCUUCGCGUCGUGCGGCGGCGCCGCCUCCUCCGCGGUGGAGCAGCCGCGGACGCGGGCCAUGGCGGGGACGGGGGCGAAGCCCCUGAGGAGCCAGAGCCCGUGGGCCUCCGCGGCGUAGGCGAAGCAGCAGCAGCCGCGGCGGCGGCGGCGGCGGGGUCGCGCGGGGGGUAAGGGUAAGGGUGAGGGCGAUGAGGGCGAGGGUGAGUCCCCCUCCCCCUCCCCCUCCUCCUCCCCCAAUCCGAAUUGGAGGCGGCGGAGGAGGCACCACUUGGCGAGCAUGUAGCCGAGGGAGCGGGCGCAGCGCUCCUCGAGGUCGGGGCCCGCGGCGCGGAGGAAGGCGCCGAGGGCGCGGGCGCAGCGGCGCGGGGCGCGCUCCAGGGAGGGGCCGAGCGCGCGGAAGAAGAGGAAGCCCGCGUCGGCGGGGGCGUCCGCGGCGCAGAGCCAGAAGAGGCGCAGCAGGAGCGCCAGCUCCAUAAAGGCCGCGCCCUGCUCCCGCGCAGCGUCGAGCGCCUUCGACACGGGCUCGGCGGCGAGCCCGACGGAGGGGGCGGUGGUCGAGGGGGAGAGGGAGAUGGAUUCGGCGAGGAGCUGGUGGAGGAGGAGGAGGAGGAGAUGAGAGGAGAGAGCGGAGGGGCGGAGAGCCAUAGAGUCGGUGGCGGAGUGAGGACGGAGAGGAGGAAAGGUGAGGAGGGGUCGCAUGGGCGGUGCGGUCGGCGAGAGGAGGAUGGAGUGGUGGUCGGAGGCGGCGAGACGAGGGACGCGGGCACGAGGGGAGAUACGAGGGCAGCGAGGCAUCCACGACCACACCUCCUCCAUUUCUCGACAGAUUUUUUUUUUUUUUUUUUUUUUUUUGUGUGCGUUAAGGAGCGCGCGGGAGGAUAAAGCUCUAACUUAUUAUACAAAAAACAAACCCACCGACGCCUAGGGAGGGGAAUGGUUUGGUUUCGGCCACACGAGGGUCUUACUCUUAUGAUUGCUAGCUAUCCUUUGGAAUGGUGCUUUAAGAUUCGGGAGUUUCUGUUCAAUUCUAUUCCACGGUGGGGGAUUUCACUUGUUCCUAAUAAAAGGAUUAGGACGUAUAACGACUCAGUAUAACUUCAAUUGUAUUUUAUCGAAUAACACUAUAUCACUAUAUCGUACAGCUUUAGAGCCAAAGUGGCUUGCUUCUUCCCAUCAUCUCCGUCAACGACUCUGACGCCGAGAAGCGUAAGGCUGUGGCGGCUCAUGACUUGAUCUUGGCUUUCCUAAAUUGGUCGAUCGCAACGGAGGAGAAAGAGUUGUGAGAGAUUUACUCCCUAAUUUCGUCCAUUUGUUUAGUUUUAGAUGAUUAUUUAAUCAUACUUAGGCUUAUUCUUUGACUUGACCGGGUUGUUGUAACUUGAAACCUCCGCUCAAUAGACUCAAUGAUAAGAAGUAGAUAGUUAAUUAAAGGCGCGGGAUCCUUGAUCAUUUCCAGCGACCAGAUAACUAAAACGCUGACUUUUUGUUCCUUGGGGAGGUAUUUAGCUAGUUUUGACCCAAUGGGAAUUUCUAUACAAGUUCGACUUAAGUAGAUGUGAAGCAGCACUACUGAGACAUAGCAUUUUGCUUUCGCUUUCAAUUACAAUCUUUUUUACAUGAUAAUUUUGACAAUAGAACAAAUUCAUUUGGUACUCGUGAUUCUACUGCAGAGAAUAGCUGCUGUUGCCGCUUCUUCUACUGGCGUUAUUCGAACAGUAGUAUAUCAUUCAACUUGGUCAAAAAACCUUGAAUCCAAUUGCAUUUAGAACAAAACUUUUUUAAAAAGUAUUUAAUAAUACUUUGUGGAUGUAUUCAAGCAUUUGGCUACAAUCUUCUCUCCUCUCAGCAUUUAAAAACGGUGAUGAUGCAAAACAAGGCCAUAAUAAAUUAAUUAUUUCAAGAGUAAAUUUCAUGUUUGGUCUUCAAAUUAUAAUCCUUAAAAGUUUAAUUUAUUGUAAUUUUCGAUUCAAACUUUAAGAAUUAUUACAAUUAAAUUCUAUAAUCCAAUUUAAUUGAUUUAAUAUUAAUAUAUUGUUAAUACAAAAGUAAUGUAUUAAUGCUGUGAUUGAUGAUAUGCUAAUAAUUAAAAUACUAUAUCACUUUACAACAAUGGUGCGUCAAUAUUUAGUAAACUAAAUUGGACUAUAGGACUUGAUUGCAAUAAUUCUAAAAAUUCAAGUAAAAAAUUACAAUAAAUUAAAAUUUGAGAGCCAAAGUGCUACCUAUCUCACAGCAUAAGGACCAAACAUACAAUUUAUCCUUAUUUCAAUUAAAAUCAUUCUAUGUAGAGAAAUAUUGGGACACAAUUAAAUUCCAAGUACCACUUUCCACAAACAUGCAGAUCACAAUAAUCAAGAAGGCACCACAGUUUGAACCAUGUUUUAUCUUUUGUCAGAGAAAAUCCGACGUUCUCAUUGUAACAAAGAGUCGCUCAUUCAACAGUUGAAACUUCACUUACUAUGGCAAUUUCUAAUCUAAUCUUAAAUUAGGGAAAACAUUUCUCUAAAUGAGGGGGGUGGGGGAUCUUAAAUGGUGCAUCAUAUCUCAAAUUGCACCUAAAGGCCAUGUAUUCAAGCACUUCAGAUCUUUACUUAACCUAUAAAUGUUGCCGCAGGAAAAUGCAAAGGUAGCAACCUUUCCUCCAUAAUGCAAUCUUCUGAGCGCAUUGUGAUUGCUAGACCACAAAAGAACUUCAUGAAGCUCCCCUUUCUUCCAGCAGAUGUUCACAGUUACUCCGCCUCUCGCCUUCAAUCCUUCAACACAACCGGAAGGCCACUUAUCACGAGGGAGAGCCGGGAGUAAGUAGAGGUCACGCUGGGUGCUUUGGACUAGUAUUUCAGCAAUUGCCGCAGUGAAACUGAGAGAAAAGAAAAUGAGAAAUCGCGAGAAGUGUCCCUCUGGGACUUCUACAGAAGAAUUAUUUAAGUAAAAUUAUUCAACUAACAACUUCUUCACUAAAGUACCAGCCAACAGCUAUGCUGCAGUUAAAGCAGAAAAUACAAAUCGGAGAUUCUGCCUUUUGGGGCUAGAAGCCCGUUUCAACUUCUCGUUAUAACAAAAGCUUCACACUUUUCAUUUGCCAAAUAUGGUGCUUACUAAUUCUCAAAGUAGAGAAGCUGCUGCAGAAACCAAGCCAAAUAGACACGCGGUCCUGUUUCGAUCCAUUACCGUCUUUUUCAAUAUAUUCCUUUAAUUGAUUUAGAAGCAUGUAAUAUUUGGUAGAUGAUGAGUAUGAUCACACAUCCAUAAUGGAUAUUAUAUUCAGCCUUCAAAUUAUUUUUUUCUGAAAUAAGAUAAAUCACCUUGUAGGCAAAAUAUACUAUCUUACCAAAUUAUAUAUGCCAAAACCUUUCCAGAAAUAAAAUUCAAAUUCCUGCCUUUCAAUUGCACAAGAAAAACUUUAUACAAAAUAAACUAUCAUUGAAUAUGUUAUUCCGACAUCCAAAUAGGGGCCUAAGAGUUUUCUUCUAAGAUAGCAAAACUGACAUAUAUCUUAGACACAAUCAGAUUUUACAGUUAACCUAUCCAAAUUGAGACAUUGAUUCAUACCCGAAAUUGGCAUCUAUUUGAAAUGGAGGAUGUGCGGUGAACAAGUUGCUAUACACUCCUCCUUCAAAGGCAGUUUCAUUGUCAGGAUCUACCAAGUUGAUCAGCUGGAAAAUCAUUUUGUAAGCAUGCUCGCUGUUAUGAAGGCGAGCCCACAAAGCCAUCUUCCAUGUAGUUGACCAUCCCGGACCGACAUCACCUAACAAAGUGACAAUUAUAUAAAAGUAAAAAAAGGAAAGAAAAUUAGUCCACACAUUGCUAAAAUUGUAAGGUCUGGAGUACCUCUUUUGUAAAGGCUGUUAGCAGCUGCUUUGCAGAGAUCAGGAGUUUUCUCAACCGUAAUAGUAUGACCUGGAAAAAGACCAAAAAGGUGCGACAGAUGCCUAUGAUGGAUAUCUGGGUCCUCAAAAUCCUGCGCCUGUGUGCAUUGAAUGAAAUUUAGACACUAGGAACACUUAAAACAUGUCAAAGCAACCAGAAAAUAAAACAAAAUAAAAUUAGAAGUCAACUAACCCACUCCAUGAUUGAACCAUCUCUAGCAAUUUUUGUUGGAGGGAGCCUAGGCAAGGCCUUCUCGAUACGGUCAAUUAAUUCAGUAUCGGUUUUCCCAAGAACCUAAAACAACAAUUAGAGAAGAGAGCCUUAAUCUCCAAGCUCAUUAAACUAAAAAAAUAGAUAGCACUAGCAUCACAAGACACUGAAACAGAUUAGUCGGUAUGAUUUCUCACACCAAUAGCACCUCUUUAUGAAAAUUUUCAUGUGGAAGUAGUCACCUCAGCAGACGAAAUAACGGCAGAGAAAACUUCCCGUAUGAUUGCAAUGUCCAUAGUUGUUGAAUAGCUGACACUUGCCAUCUUACCAUCAGGAGCGAUAAAAGAAUGUUCGGGCGAAGUAGAAGGAUUAGUUUCCAAGUACCCUCCAUGUCCUUCAAUUAACCAGUCUAACAGAAAAGUUGCACAUCCUUCCAAAAGUGGGUAUGCUGUAUUCUCCAGAAAAACCUAAAUAAAAGUGAGAAAAUCGUAAGCUUUGUGGGUCAAAUUAUACCUACUUGAAGAAAAAAUGUUAGAAAAUAAAUAAAUGAAACAUGAUCAAUAUACUAAAUUAUGAACAAAUAGGAUAAAUGAUAUAUAAUGCAUGCCAAAUUUGCGCCUGUAAUGAGACACAGGGCUUACUUUGUCCAUUGUGAAAGUAUAAUGCUCCCACAGAUGUGUACUGAGCCAAGCCCCGCCCAUUGGCCAUAAAGCCCACACAGGGUCACCACGGUCGGGCGAUGAUUUUGCCCAUAUGUCCGUUACUUGAUGAGCUACCCAACCACUUGCUUCAUAAUUGACCUGAACCGUAAAAUUAAAUUUUGAUAAAGCAAUAUGAAAGCUAGUAAUUAUCUGCAAAAGGGAGAAACUGAUUAUUGGAGAGAUAAAUAGGGGAACAUAUGCCUUGUAAGACUUGAAUAGUGUAAAUAAUGUGGAUCUUCUGUUAUGAUUACAUGCAACAGCAAGUCCAAAAUGGUGCAGGAAAUGUUCUCAUCCACAUGCCUAUCAAUAUGUAACAGGAAGCCAAGAAAUUGCAUGAAAUAUUCACAAAACUCCACUUAAAAUUUUCUCUAAUUAAAAAAAAAAUCCGAAAAAUGGCAUGCUCAUAUACAGCAUAUUUCCAAUUGUCAAGGAAGUUUCUAUUCAUACUGUUUAUAACACAGGAAAUUGGACAAAUGAAGCAUUAUCACGAUUCCACCUAAGUAACACUAAAAACGCAAGUCAACAUUACCAGCCAAAGUAUCAUGCCUUCAAUAUUCUUAGACAACGCAAUAAACCUCAAGGCAAUGUAUACACCACUAAAUGAAGAAUAGUUUGCUAUUCAAUCCUUACUCAUCUCACAAAAUAUGGGUUGCUCCUGAAGCAUUGUUUUAUUCAACUCAUCUAUUGUAGAUAAGGACUAGAUUGGGAAUGCUUUGUCCAUAGCAGUCCCUUCAAGUUCCCUGAAGUUCCAUGGAUCCAUUUUGGGACUUAGAACUUCAAUGGAUGCAAAGUUUGAGAAACGUAAAAACGACUAUCAAGUAUUUAAUAUUUCUAUAUUUCCUUUCCUGUCAAGCAUGGCUGAUUUUUCUAUUAUGCCAUAUAGCUUUAAAUCAAGGAUAGCAAUCUUACUUUUGCUGUCUUGCUACCAUUGAUCGCAAGAGAUUCAAUAAAAUCAAACAGUGGUUCUUCGCACUCACGAAGAUUGCAAGGAAGCGAUGGCCAGUAAUUCAUUUGCAGAUUGAUGUUCAGGUGAGGAGCUGCACUGGAAACAAACAGCAAAAGUAAAAUUUCUAUGUCAAACAGUACAUAGCUAUGAAAUCUUCAUCUCAUUUUCCAAGCCAUAGAACUCAUUUUGGAUGCAGGACAAAUCCAAAAAUUAAGCACCAAUGAUCAAAAUCAUGAUGGCUCGUACAUUGAUGGAUGUCUCUUUUAUUGCCCACUUGCAUUAUAUGCUAUAAUUGAGUUACUUACGGUGUGUGUCACUUGAUCAUACUUCUCUUAUUAAUCAAAACUAACUAAAUAAAGAUUCUCAGCUACAAUAGUCAAAAUCAUAACCACUAUUUCUGGAAAAGCAGAUAACCUACAUUUUUAGCACAGGUUCUGGUGUGUUAAGCAAUACAUGGUUAAUUUUAUAGGAAGCAGCGAAUCACAUACAUGCAAUCACUGUUCCGAAAGUACAAGUUCCUAACAAAUGACCUAACAAUUAGGAAAAAGAUCCACCAGUUUGACGUAUUAAAAGUCAAAUUGAGUUUUCCAGGGUUUUAUUGUAAACUUUUAUAGGUUGUACCUUUGGUUCAUAACUUCAUAUAUAUCUAAAUAGCAAUAUAAAAAUUUUGAAAGGUCCGUAAGUUGUCAAAUGCUUCAUGGAGAAGUUCGAUGAAUUAAUAUUAACCUCUAAUGCUUUCGAUUGAGGAUAUAAUAAGCACCUGGAAAUCUAUUGCAAAAAGAUAUAAGCCUCAUAGCAAUGAGAAAAUAAAAUUAACACAGCAAAAGUAUGAAUAAGAAAUAUUGGGAAUAAAUAUUUGCAUUCAACUCCUUGGUUGUGAAAUAAUACAAGCUUUUUAUAUAAACAACGAAGAUAUUUCCUCAUAAGUUAAAAGACAAGCGAUAAAAUAAAAACUGGCUAAGGUAAUAUAGUUGAGGUAAAAUCUUACUCCCAUGCUGGCUCAAUGUCCUUAUUCCAUAUUCCUUGCAAGUUGGCAACCUGAGUUCCAGGCCUAGAACAAGAUAUUAGCAGGUACCGCCCAUAAUGGAAUAACAGCUCUACCAAAGUGGGAUCCUCAUCAUUUUUAAAAGAUUUCACUCUUUCCGCAGUUGACUUGAUGGCAUCACUCAUUAUUCGGACCGAAGAAUCAGUACUUUGUGAUUCUGUGGAGUCUUUUGACAGUUUCAAAGUAACAUGUUGAAAAAGACUCUGAUAAUCAUCCAAAUGAUAAGAAAUUAGCUGAGAAAAUGACAUAUUCUUGAUUGGAUUUAAUAACUUCACGGCUUCUGAAGUAGGGUCCACUUUAGAAUCAGAAGGCUUAACGAAUGGCCCUUGGAAUGAAGAAGCAGCUGUGAGAAGCAUAACAACCCAGUCGGCACCAUCAACUUUUAUUUUCCUAUCGUCAACAAUUUGUGCUGUGUAAUCAUCACCACCUAUCUGCAAAUUGAGAAUUGCUGAGAACUUAAUUCCGCUUGGACUUUCAGAGGCAUUUUCUUUCGGUGGAAUUCUCUUCCCUGGGCAGCUACCUUCCAUGAUGAUUUGAUUUGAAGUGUUUGCAGCAGAAUGAUGAUGCAAUAGGCUGUCUAAGGAUACUGUGAAGGAGAGGCAGCCCGAUUUACUUGCAGAAAUCUUGGUCACGAGCACUUGAUGCGGGUUUGAGGAGAAGUGUUCCCUCGUGUAUUCUACAUUCCCAACAGCGUAUUGGACAGUCACAGUCGCAGUAGUCAGAUCGAGUUCUCUUUCAUAACCAGUAUAUGUGUCAUUCGCAUUGCCAAACUCUAUAUUAAUAUCACCAAGAGGUUGGUAGACCUUCAUUUGAACCCAAUUAGUGUUAGAUUUAAAUCUUAUCUUGCCAAAAGUUAAGCACAAGUGUGCACAAGUAGAAGAGAAAACAGCUAAAUUUUUCUGUUGACAACAUGUCAUGUGCAAGAAAUGCAGUGUUAACAAUUGAACAAAAUAAACGGUACAUAUCCUAAAGACAUUCAGAAAUAAAUGGAGAUAUAUUCUCUUUAGACUAGGAAAAUUUGAAAAAUAAAGUGCAUUACUACAUAGCACCUCCAAAUGUAAAUUUAUGAAGAAUUAGGAGACAAAAAAAAAAUUCAGCUCCCUUCGACAGAAAGAACUAUCAUGACCUUAAUAUAACCAAGGAAGCUAAGUACCUAACAGAGUAUUGCAUAACUUAGUGGAGAAAUAAUUGAAGUUCUAAUAGAAGCCAACAAAUCGAAUUAUCAUGUAUGGCGUAAUUUAAAAGGAUGCAUCAAGUCAAUCUUAAUACUAGAAAAUGGCCUCUAAAAUACUCAGCAGCAUUCAAGCAAGCUAGCAGUAGACAUCAAAAUUAUAUAUUUUUUUUAAAAAAAGGUAAAUAAAUUUCUUUCAUGCAAGAGCUUAAAAUUGCACGUACAUCUGAUGGCUUAUCAGACAAGUCAAAAGCGGCCGAGGUGGCUUCCGCAUAUUGUCCGUCGUCCACAAGUUCUCUUACUUUAGAUAGAACAGCAGGGGCUUUUGGAUUUGUAUAAUUACCAGGUACACCAGUCCAUAGAGUAUCAACUGCAUAAGCAAUUACACUAUAAAAUCAGCAGCAUUUUACAGGUGAGAGAAAAAAAAAUAUCAACACAGGGCAAAAAGGAUUAAUGACUAAUAUAAAAUAUAGAAAGGAUUAUUGCAUAAUCUUUUUUAAAAAAAGAAAAGGAACAUGCUGAGAAUUACCUAAAGCAUAAAAUACAGAGCCAGCUUGUUUAUCUAAUAAACUAAUAUCCAGUAAUAUUAAUCUUUCUUCAAUCACGAACAAAAAGGUCACUUUUUUUGUCCAAAAUUGAAGGUAAAAGGUUAAAAUGUAUGGAAAGCCUUAAGCCCCUCAAGUACUAUAGACCAGUUUAAAAUAGGCCCUUUUUUUGACACCUGUGAACUUUCAUUUUCUUUUGUCUGAAUCAUUUCAUUAUUACUUGAAUCAGAAAUUUCAUUAAAUUAAUCAGCAAUUUCGUCAAAUUGUUAAUAUUAAUGAUCAAUAGCUAACAAAGUUAUUAAUUUUAACAAAAUUUCUAUCGCGAUUAACUAAAACAACUCAAAACAAAACAAAGUAAGGUUAAGAGAUUCAAUGGUAAAAGAAAAGGAACAAGAGUUGAGGCGCACAUUUCAAAAUACCAUAUAAUUGAAGGGGCCUUUGGGAUCUCCACACUUUUUUUUUUAUUUUUUUUUACCUCGUGGGAUUCGAGCUCACAACAUUCACCUCCGAACUAUACAGUGCGAGACUCUCAAAUCUUCGUCUAACAAAUAUUUAAAAGAGCAAUAGGAAAUCACGAUUAAACAACUCUACUUCAUACAAAUCGAGGUAAAAGGUAGAAAUUUAGAACCACUCACUCCACCAUACUCUAAUAUAAAUAAAUAACAACAACAGCAAAACCUAAAAAACGAACAUCGUUUAAUGUACGCAUCGAAAGAUAAAGAAAAAGCGGGGGGGGAGGGAGGGGGAACUACGAUUGAGCUGGAGCUUCUCGGCGGCGACGCCGCCCCACACCAUGGCGCCGAGUCGCCCAUUCCCGACGGGCGCGGCGUCGGUCCAGUGCUUCGCGGGCUCCGCGAACGCGAUCCUCAGCGGCCGCUCCUCCGCCGCCGCGGCGCCUCCCCACCCCGCCGCCGCCGCCGCCGCGUCCGCGUCGGUGGGGCGCCGCACGAGCACCCACUCCUCCGCCGCGUCGCCGUCGCCGAGCAUUGGGAGGAGGCUAGGGUUUUGGAUCGGGAGGAGAGAGAGGGGGUGAUGGCGACUGUGGGUCACUUGAAGCGAGGGGGCGGUUCGGCAUGGAGAAUGUGAUCACGGGUGCGUAGUGUUUUUUUUUCUUUUUUUUUUGGCCUUUUCGCAGGAGUACCGAGUACGGCCGUAAUAACUGCGCGGUGCCGGUGCUUCCGUUUGUGUGCGCUUCUCCGUCGCGCGAGACAGGUAGUGACACGAAAGGACGUAACAGCGUCGACAUUACGUGAACCCUGUUUACCAUCUCAUCUGUGUGAGUACAGUUUACCUACACUCCCUUAUUUUAAAAGUAGAUUAAUUUUAUACAGGUACUUAUAAAUAUAGAUAUCGUUUGGUUUGGGGAUAAGCAAAAAUUGUUGCUCUAGAAAUAGGCAUAAAUUGAGAUAUAAACAGGAAUUAGAUCAAUUUUGCGUUUGAAUGAAAAUUAGGUUAUUCUUGGGAAUUAAAAAAAAAAGUGUUUGGUUAGGUAAAUGGAAUAAGAAGGAUAGUCGAUUUUAUAAAUAAAAAGUAAUGAUAUUAUCUUUUUAUUAUAUUUGAAUUUGAAUUUUUAAAAUUUUAAAUUUAUAUUUUUAAAGUUAAAAUUUUAAAAUUUGAGAAAUUUGAAAUUUAAAAUCUCAAAUUUUAAAUUCAAAUUUUUAAAUUUUAAAUUUCAAACUUUAAAUUUAAGAUCAAAUUUAAAUUUGAAAAAUAUAAAAUAUAAAAUUUUAAAUUUCAAAAAUUUAAAAUAUCAAAAUUUAAAUUUAAAAUUUAAAAUUAUAAACUUUAAUUUUGAGAUUAUAAAUUAUAAAUUUUAAAAAUUUAAAUUUUUAAAUUUUAACGGGAACAAUUAAUAAAAAUAAUUUAUUAUAAUAAAUUUAUAAAUUUUUUUAAAAUUCCACUUAAACUUAAAUUUAAUAAAAAGAAUUUAUUAUAAUAUUUAAAUAUAAUUUAUUAUAAAUUUUAUUAUAAUAUUUAAAUAUAAAUAAUAUGUAUUAAUAUAGUACAAUUAAUAAUUUUAUAAUAAAAAUAAUGUAUUAUAAUAUAUAACAUAUUAAUUAUAUUUAUAUAAUUUAGUUUGCUUAAUUUAUAAUUUUAAUUAAGUUUGAAAUUAAGCAUUGGAAUAGCAUUAUUCCACCAAAAUGGUGGAAUAGCAAAUUCCUUGCUAUUCCGGGAUAACCGGGAAUAGCAAGGUUUGACCGGGAUAAAAUAUCCCAGCCAAAUUUCACCCCGUUUAGCGGAAUAGCAGGGAUAACUUUCGUUAUCCCCACUUAUCCCCCGAACCAAACGGGGCCAUAGUGAAUAAUAAAUAUUUUUUUAUAAAAUUUAACUUUUAUACGGUGUUUCUAGAAAAGUUCGGAUGUUUUCAAAUAUAUCUCUCUGAUUUGGUACCGUUAGAGAACUGUUUAUAUUUUUAAUUUUGUCAUCAUAAAUAUAUCAUUCCAAAAGACAUAACAGUAUAAUAUAAGAGAAAUAAAAAUGUCAAAAAGUAACUAGAAUUAUAUAUUUAAUUUAUGAUUAACUAAAUUUUUCUAACGAAUUCUAACGUAAGGAUAUAUUUGAAAAUAUCGUGAUUUUUACAAUGACAGAAUAUGAAAGUUGAACUUUAUAGGGAUAUUUAUCAUUUACUAUAUUUGCAGGGAGCUAUAUGAAAUUAACCCUUUAGGAAUUGGAAUUGAUGGAUGAGAGCCUGUUUAGCUCGAGUUAUAUAGUAUUAUUGUUUAUUUCGAUGUAAUUAAUUAUCUGAAAUUUUUUGAAUUAGAUUAUUAUUGAAUUACUAUGUUUGGUUCGGUUUAUAAAAUUUAGGAAUCUUGACAGUAAUGUAUAAUCUAUUCCAAAAUUAUUCUUGUGGUCAUAUUUAUUUAUUUUUUACUAAACUACAACUUAAUAUAAUUUGUACUUAAAUUAAUUUUAUUAAUAAGCAAUAUAAAUAAAAAGACCACACAUUAAAAAAAAUUAUAAAGCCAAAAAUUAAUUUCAAUCCAUAUAAAAAUAAAAAUAAAUAAAAAAUACCAUAUUACAUAACCAUACAAUAAUUUAAGAAUAAUAAAUUUUAAUUUAAAAACUCAUUUAUAAGGAUUCAUGCGAACAGGAACAGAGAAAGAGAGGGAUAGAAAGUGAGAGAGAGAGAUAAACAUGACCUAUUAAAAAAGCUUGAAGGGUUGGAGGGUUAAAAUUAUAAUUUUACAUAACAUGGAGCGAUAAAAAUGAUAUAUUGAAAGGGUUUGGAAGGGUUAGAGGAGUAAAAUUAUAAUAUUACGUAACAUGCAAAAUUGUUCGCUAUCAGUAGUAUAAAAUACCCACCCACCGCUUGAUAAUAUUUUCGGGGCCCGUUUGGUUCGAGUUAUGUAAUAUUACAAAGUAUCUCGACAUAUCCAGGUAUCUUGGAUUUCGGCGUGAGAUUACUACUAAUGCUGCAUUAGAGCGUUUGGUUUAAUACAGUAAUGUAAUACUAGAUUACAGUGUUUAUAGCAUUAAUAUGUUUGGUUCAGUUUAUAAAAUUUAGGAAUCUUGACAGUAAUGUAUAAUCUAUUCCAAAAUUAUUCUUGUGGUCAUAUUUAUUUAUUUUUUACUAAACUACAACUUAAUAUAAUUUGUACUUAAAUUAAUUUUAUUAAUAAGCAAUAUAAAUAAAAAGACCACACAUUAAAAAAAAUUAUAAAGCCAAAAAUUAAUUUCAAUCCAUAUAAAAAUAAAAAUAAAUAAAAAAUACCAUAUUACAUAACCAUACAAUAAUUUAAGAAUAAUAAAUUUUAAUUUAAAAACUCAUUUAUAAGGAUUCAUGCGAACAGGAACAGAGAAAGAGAGGGAUAGAAAGUGAGAGAGAGAGAUAAACAUGACCUAUUAAAAAAGCUUGAAGGGUUGGAGGGUUAAAAUUAUAAUUUUACAUAACAUGGAGCGAUAAAAAUGAUAUAUUGAAAGGGUUUGGAAGGGUUAGAGGAGUAAAAUUAUAAUAUUACGUAACAUGCAAAAUUGUUCGCUAUCAGUAGUAUAAAAUACCCACCCACCGCUUGAUAAUAUUUUCGGGGCCCGUUUGGUUCGAGUUAUGUAAUAUUACAAAGUAUCUCGACAUAUCCAGGUAUCUUGGAUUUCGGCGUGAGAUUACUACUAAUGCUGCAUUAGAGCGUUUGGUUUAAUACAGUAAUGUAAUACUAGAUUACAGUGUUUAUAGCAUUAAUAUGUUUGGUUCAGUUUAUAAAAUUUAGUAAUCCUGACAUAAAAGUAUAGUUUUUUUCAAAAUUGCCCUUGUUGUGGUCAUUUGAAUAUUAUUUUUUGCGGAAAUGACGAAUGGAGGGAAGGAGAUCGUGAUGAUUAUUUGGGAGGACGACGCAAUAAAAGAUGAUAGGUGUUCGUGCGAGAGAGAGAGAGAGAGAGAGAGAGAGAGAGAGAGACGUCCAGAUAGAAAGAGCGAGAGAAAGCGGCGUGCGAGAGAGAGGGCCGGAGGGAAGGCGAGAUAGAGAUGAAAAUAAUGCUGUUAAUUAGAUUUGGGGUUGUUGGAGGGUAAAAUUGUCAUUUUACAUAAUAUGUAGUAUUAACGGGUUUCAGUAAUGCAAGAUACACGACCCCCCUCCCGUUAAUAUUUUCGAUGUAAUCCUGCUCGAUUUGUAAUCCUACAUUAACGACUAGAUUACAUAGUGGAUUAACCAAACAUAGUUAUCCUGGCAGGAUUGCCUGUAAUCCUGCCAGGAUAACUUGAACCAAACGCACCCUCGGAGUAAUCUUGCACAAUUUGUAAUAUUAUACCAACCAGAUUACAGACCGAAUAUAUAGAGUAAUCUUGUAUCAUUUGUCAUGUUAUAUUACUAACCAAAUUGUAGACCGGACAAACCAAACAUAAUAAUCUUAACAGGAUAACCUAAACCAAAUGUGUCCUAAGAAAAAAUUUUCGUUGGAAAUUAAUUUUACGCUCCAUUGUGUUUGGUUUUUUUUAGAAAAUUGAAAAUUAUUUUCAAACCUCAGUUGUUUCCAAUGCUGCCGAUUUAUUUUCGAUGAUAAAACCUUCAAAUCGACGAUCGACACUAUUAAACGUGAUCCACACCACUUGAAGUUUUUAUAAAUCAAAUUUCAAAUUUCGAUAUUAUUAAUCUAAUGAUCAAGGGGAUGCAAAAAUUAAAAACUUAAUGAUCAAUGUGAAAUGUUUGCUCGUUUAAUGGUGUAAAUAAAUCUAAAUUAAUUAAAGUUUAAUUUGCAAAUUUUUUAAAUUAUUGAAAAUAAAGCCUAUACUCUUGAUCUUAAUUAUACGAGUUCUAUCAUCAUUUUUUAAAAGAUAUUAUUUUUAGCCAUUUAUUUUUGUGUCCACUUGAUAUACAAAAGAAAAAUAUCAAAACCACAUAAAAGUUAUUUUUUAAUACUUCAAGUAGUAUAGAUCAUAUUCAAUUGUGCCGAUUGUUAAUUCGGAGCCAUCAUUAUUAAAAGUAAAUCGAAAAAAAUGAAGCUCAUUUGCUAUUGAUAGUAUUCUAACUUAACUUUUUAUAUUUUUUUUUGGGUAAACUUUAAAUACCAUCCAUGUGGUUUCGCACUUUCUCACUACCAUGUGGUUUAAAGUAUAUCAAGUUAAUAUUCUAUGGUUUCAUUUUUAUCUUUUCGUCAGCUUUUUCGUUAAUAUUUGGUUAAAUUAUAUACAAAAAACUUCAAAUACUCCAUCUAGGUUUAUCGAAUAUUCACUUUAGUACCCUUUAGUUUAACUUUGUCAAUAAUUUAGCGAAAAAAAUUAGUGAAAUAGAUAAUAAAAUGAUAAAAAUAAAAUUAUAUGGCACUAAAUUGAUACACUUUAAACUAUAGGAUACUAAAGUGAAAAGGUGUGAACUACAGUAGUAGUAUUUGAAGUUUUUUCUUUUUUUUUUUCUUAAGUGGGAAGCAAUAGCAAUAGCGGUCCACAGAUUUUUCGCUGAAUCUCGUAGACCACGCUAAUAUGCUCCCUGGACCACGGUUUUUCACUGCCACUUUUCGUUUUUCGCAACAUUUGUUCGCCUCCAAAUCCGUAAAAUAUUUUAGGGGAAAAAAUUAUAGACUCUUUUCGUUUUUUUUUUUUUUUUUUGCUUGGUUGUGAAAUAAAUAAAUAAAUAAGGUUUAAAGCUUAUUAUGGUGAUCUAAACAUUGAAUAUGUAACACUCUAAUUUGGAGUUUUGUAGAGCCACUGAGAGGACUAUAAGUUUAAAAAUAAAAAAAUCUAGUACCAUCAAACUUUUGAACAGUUUUAUUGAAUUGUAACGACAUGAUCAAUCGAAUGGAAAAUUGUUUGAGCAUAUCCUUAUACCCUCAUUGACAAAUAGAUGGAAAUUUGAUGAAUAAAGCAACUAUUUAAAAAUUUACAUACAAUAUAAGCCUACACAAGUUUAGAAAUAUGAUAUAUAUCUACUGCAAUUCAUUUAAUCCAAAGAAUCUAGGUUUAAUGUUGCAUGGUAUAUCAAUUUUUUAUUAGAUAUAGUAAAUAUUUCAUGCGGGGCUAUUUCGUGUGUGAAUCUACGUAGUUUUGUUUAAAGAGAUAUCAAAAGUUAAGAGUUUACAUAUAAUAUAAGCCUACACAAGUUUAGGAAUAUGAUAAAUAUCUACUGUAAUUCAUUUAAUCCAAAGGGUAUGAUGGUUGGUAUCCAAGAUCCAAAUUCAAAUCCUAGUUGAUUCACAUUUUCAGCUAAGUUUAUUUCUAAAUGAAAUAAACAAAGUAGGUAAUAUGCUACCUAUCUCUCUCUCAAAAAAAAAAAAAAGAGAUAUCAAAAGAAUAAAUAAAAUUUUGUGUCUUUAAAUGAUGAAUAUAUAUAUAUAAAUAAAAUUUAGCACCUUUUGAAACUGAGAGGAUUUAAAAUUAUCUCUGAUAUUAUAUUAAUAAAAAAUUAGCUUACUUAAAAAAAACAGUUUAGAAAUGUAUGAAGAGCAAAUUUUUAGGGAAACAUAUUCCCAUCAUCAAGUGAAUGAUGAUAAUGGUGAUGGGGCUAGUCAAGUGCAUGGUGUCCCCAUACUCAUAAAUAUAAAAUAAGUGAAAAAAAAAAAACUAAAAAGACGAGAAAAAACUAAGUAUCUUUCUUUGACUACUCAAAUAAAGUGACAUAUUCUGAGAUUUUGAAGUAGGCCAAAGCCACAAAUAUCAAAAUUAAUAUAUAAUAAAAUAAUUCUUUUUUGGGCCCUACAUGAAAACUACAUGUCCUUCUUUUUCUUUUUUUUUUGGUUCAUAAUUAUUAAAAUUGCAUGUCGCUUUUAAAGGGGUUACAGAGAAGUUACUGGAAACCCCAUGAAGCAACACAAAUUUCCACAUCUCGUAAAGGCGACGAAGAAAGAAAUGGAGUUGUUCCCACGUGGGUCCCACACUAGAACAGUGGAAUUUUACGGAGAAACCCCUGAACUAUGGCACGUUUUGACUCAAGUUUAUUUUUUAAUUACAAUAUUGUCAUGGUGGCAUUUAACUUAGAUCGGAAUCGUAAGGUAAAAAAAUCUAGUAAUUUUGUGAAUUCUAAACUAAACUUGAAUUAGAAAAUACAUGUAUAUUUGUUUGGCAAUGUGGACAACUCACGAGUCAUGAACUUACGAGAAAAUAAUAAAAUAUGUACAAUCUUCCGAAAGUAUCAUAAAAAGAAAAGUUCGAUCACCCUCGACUCGAAAUGUCGUACUUGAGAAAGCCCAAUCUUUCUCGACGCUUAGUGCUUAGCAAGAGCAUCUAGUGGGUGCCCAUUGUAUGAACAAACAAAUAUGUAUUAUUUUGGGAUCCAAUGAUGAAAACUCUAAUGAACUUUAAUUUAGUUGUUGUUGUUUAAAUUUAGUAGUAUUACUCUAAUAUUAUAUAUAUCCAUAUCAUAUAUGAUUGUACAUGUUAGUGUAUAUGAUUGCUUUGUGUGAGUAGAAAAAAUUUUAUCUAUUUCGCGGGUUCGUUGCACGUGCUCUGGUGGGCCCAAUUGGCUGGACUCGAUGUGUGACAAAAAUUGUAUUAAAUAUCAUAACUUAAUUAGCUAUAUUAGCAGUUAAUUAAUUCCUCUUUACUCGCUAUAAAGUAGUUUGAACUAUAAAUAUUAAAUUAAUAAAAUUAUUUAAUCAAUUUAGUAAAAUCUUUCAUUUAUUUGAUUAAAAUAACUUGAUUUUGAAAAAUUAAUAGUUGAGGAGGCCUCAAGUGAAAAAACAAAGGGUAAAAAUAUAUAAAAUUUAUGGAAAACUUCAAAUAUCCCCCUUGUGGUUUCACUCUUUCUCAAUUUAAUAUCAUGUGGUUUAAAGUGUAUCAAGUUAGUACCAUAUGGUUUCGCACUUUCUCACUUUAGUACUCCGUGGUUUAAAGUGUAUCAAGUUAGUAGCCUGUGGUUUUGCACUUUCUUACUUUAGUACCAUGUGGUUUAAUAUUUCAUUAAGAGAAAAAUAAAACCACAGGGUACUAACUUGAUAAAAAAAUAAAACUACAGGAUACUAACUUGAUACAAAAAUAAAAUCACAGAGUACUAAUUUGAUACACUUUAAACCACAGGGUACUAAAGUGAGAAAAUGCGAAACCACAGAGUACUAACUUGAUACACUUUAAACCAUAGGGUACUAAAAUAAAAAAGUGCGAAACCAUAGGGGGGUUUUUGAAGUUUUUUCUAAAAUUUACCUAAACUAUGAGGUAUUCUGGCUUAGUUGCCCAAUCUUUUAAAAUUUAAUUUUAUUAUUCAAUAUUUCAAUUUAUUUAAUUUGAAUUAGUUAAUGAUAUUUUGACGAUAAAAUUUGAAUGUGUGUUUAUUUUUACAGAUUUAAUUGAUAUAUUUUAUAUAAUUUUGAUAAUUAAUAUAAAUUUAUUGAAAUAAGUAAUUAGUUUAUAUUUUAAAGUCAAAAUUUUUUUGACCGAUUGAAAUUAAAUAAAUCGAAAUGCUGAAUAGCAAAAUUAAAAUUUUUAAAGGUUGUAUAACAAUUCAAAAUAGACAAUAAUUCCGAAAAAUUCUGUGAGUUUUUACCUAAAGUAAUGAAAUUGAGGAACCAAUUUCCAAAUAGGCUAUUGUUGAGGGGUCUUAAUAUAUUUUUUCAGAAAAUAAUUCACAUAUGGACAAAUUAGCUUUAGAAAAGUCAGCAUUGAUAUAAAAUCCAUUUUUGUAAAUUUUUGGUUUUCAUACAUGAGCAAUUAAUGCUGUCUGUAUACCUAGAAAAAUGCAUAAAAUGCUAUACCAGACUUAUUUAGAAACUAAUAUUUCUCUACUAAUAUUAUUAUUAUUUUUUAAAAUGAAAAGUUUAAAAUGAACUUUUAAAUUUGAGAAAACUUCAAAAAACCUCCUGUGGUUUCGUAGUUUCUCACUUUGCCUCUUUGUAGUUUAAAAUAUAGCAAUUUGCCCGCAUGUGGUUUAUUUUUUCUCUUUUUUUUAUCAAUUUCAUGAUUUUUUUUCUUAAAUCAGUGAUAAAGUUAAAAUUAAAGGGUACUUAUUUGAUAAAUCUAGAUGGGUAUCUGAAGUUUUUUGUAUAUAAUUUAAUAAAAUAUUAACGAAAAAGGUACCCAAAAGAUAAAAAUGAAACCACAGGGAGGCAAAUUGAUACACUUUAAAUCACAGGGUACUAAAGUGAGAAACAAUGAAAUCACAGGGGGGUUUUUGAAGUUUUUCCUUUAAAUUUUAGAUAAAUAGCUAGGCUAUCAAAUUUACAUUUUACCCUUAAAUGUACAGUAGUAAUUCUCUUUAGAUAAAAAUAUAUAAAAAUUAUCUGAACUACGUACAAACUAGUUUGAUUUGAUUAUUCAAUUAAUCAAAAUUUGAUUUCACUUUCUAAUCUAUCAAUUCGUAUGAUUUGAGUCAAUCAACGAUAAUUUAAUUUCAAAAUUUAAAUAUAUUAUUUAUCUUUAUAGAUAUAUUUAGUAAACUUCAUGUAAUUCUCGCACCUACAAUUUUGUUAAAUAAAUAAUUAACUUAAUUUUCGAAUCAAAGUAUUGUUUACUGGUUCAAAUAAAAUAAAUUGAAAGACGGGAUAGUAAAUUGAAAUUUUGAAAUAUUUGUAGCUGUUUCAAAAGUUAUUCGUACGUAGUUCCGAUAAUUGUAUGCAUUUGUCCUUUCCUUUGUACAUGUCUAGCACCUCUUUUGUCUAUAUAACCCAAUUACAUACCCAACUCUCUCUCUCUCUCUCUCUCUCUCUCUCAAACCACAUAACAAUGGCUAGUCCAAACCCAGAAGCUAAAGUUAUAGCUGGUUCUACUCCGCCGGCGCUGCCACCGCAGCCGCCGACGACGAUGAGGAGCUCGUUACUGGAAGAAGUAAUAGUUCCGGAGCCGAAGAAUCGCCGGAAUGUGAGGUUCGCCUUCGCCUGCGCCACCCUUGCCUCCAUGACCUCCAUCCUCUCAGGCUAUAGUAAGAGAUGUUGUCAAUAUACAUAUCCAAAUUCUUGUAUAAUAUGUAGAAAAUAUGUUUACACGUACGAGUGCAUGGUUGGUUUUCAGACAUCGGAGUGAUGAGCGGGGCGGUGCUGUUCAUCAAGGAGGACCUGAAGAUCAGCGACACGAAGGUGGAGAUCCUGGUGGGCAUCCUGAACCUCUACUCGCUGGUCGGCUCCUUCGCGGCCGGCCGCACCUGCGACUGGAUCGGCCGCCGCUACACCAUCGUCUUCGCCUCCGCCAUCUUCUUCGCCGGCGCCCUCCUCAUGGCCCUCGCCCCCACCUACGCCCUCCUCAUGCUCGGCCGCUUCGUCGCCGGCGUCGGCGUCGGCUACGCCCUCACUAUCGCCCCCGUCUACACCGCCGAGCUCUCCCCCGCCUCCUCCCGCGGCUUCCUCACCUCUUUCCCCGAGGUUUCUAUUCUUUUAUUCGUGACUAUUCCGAAAUAGUAAGCUAUUUUAGAAAUAAAAAGAAAUUAUUUUGUAUUCGAUCGGCAACGAACGAACGAACGAACGAACGAACGAACGAACAGGUGUUCAUCAACUCCGGCAUCCUCCUCGGGUACGUCUCCAGCUACGCCUUCGCCGGCCUGCCCCUGCACCUCGGGUGGCGCGUCAUGCUCGGAGUCGGCGCGAUCCCGUCCGUCCUCCUGGCCAUGGGCGUGCUGGCGAUGCCCGAGUCCCCGCGGUGGCUGGUCAUGAAGGGCCGCCUCGCGGAGGCCGCGUCGGUCCUGCGCCGCACCGCCGACACCGCCGAAGAGGCCGAGCUCCUCCUCCUCGACAUCAAGAAGGCGGCCGGCAUUCCCGCCGACCGCACCGCCGAGGGCGUCUGGCAGGAGCUGCUCGUCCGGCCGACGGCCCCCGUGCGCCGAAUCCUCGUAUCCGCCGUCGGCAUGCACUUCUUCCAGCAGGCCUCCGGCAUCGACUCCGUCGUGCUGUACAGCCCCCGCGUGUUCGAGAAGGCCGGCAUCGCCGACAAGACCGAGCUGCUGGGCACGACGGUCGCGGUCGGCCUCGUGAAGACGCUCUUCAUCCUCGUCGCCACGUUCCUGCUCGACCGCGUCGGCCGGCGGCCGCUCCUGCUGAGCAGUGCGGCCGGAAUGGUGGCGUCGCUGGCGGGGCUGGGGAUCGGUCUGACCGUAAUUAGUCAUCGGACUGACGGCGCGGCGGCGUGGGCCGUGGCGCUCAGCAUCGCGUCGACUCUCGCCUACGUCGCGUUCUUCUCGAUCGGGCUCGGGCCGGUCACGGGCGUCUACACGUCCGAGAUCUUCCCGAUGCGCCUGCGGGCGCUGGGGUGCGCCGUGGGCGUGGCGGUGAACCGCAGCACCUGCGGCGUCGUCACGAUGACCUUCAUAUCGCUCUACAAUGCGAUCGGCAUCGGCGGCAGCUUCUUUCUCUACGGUGGGAUCGCCGCAGCCGCGUGGGUGUUCUUCUUCACCUACCUGCCGGAGACCCGCGGGCGCACGCUCGAAGAGACCGGCGAGCUGUUCAAUGAACACCCGCGUCAAGGAGAGGAGGAGCAAUUGCUACAGAAACAGGGACCACCAAUGGGCAAUUACCGAAAAGUCUAGUGGCUUAGUCUGUUAGGGAUGGGAUUGUAAGAGAGAAACAAAUGGGAGGACUUUAUUGAGAAAACUGUUAAAGAGGAUAAUGUAACUUACCCACGGAUGAUAGAUCAUUGGUUGAUAUAAUAUAAUUGGAUGGGAAAAGACGAGUACAACUGCUAGUUUUUUUUUUUUUUUUUUUUUUCUUUCUUAUAUAAUUAUUGGUGAAUAUAUAAUUAGUUGUUUGGUCUAUAACAGGUGUCGUAUUGUAAUUGUGCAUAUAUGGGUGAACGAAUCAAAUUAACAAAGGUUGAGAAGUACAUGCGACAAUUUUAGGACCAAUCAAUCAUAUAUAUACAAUAAGAAUUAAUUUAUAAGAUAUCACAUCAUUAAUUUUAAAAACUCGAAUAGUUAAAAAUACACAAUGAAUUCACUUAAAACGUACUACUAGUUUUUAAUUUUUAAUAUGAGACUAAUUUUCACAUGUAGAAAUUUAAGCACUAACUUCCUGGUGGCAACCAAUUGUCCCUAGCGCAAGUGACAAAAAGGCUUGGUGGUUGAUAUUUGAGAUCGAAAUUCGAAUCCUAAUUAAUUCACAAUUUUCAAUUAAGUUUAUUUCUAAAUAAAAUAAAUAAAGCGGAUACCAUGCUAUCUUUCUCUCUCAAAAAAAAAAAAAAAAACUUCUUGAAGGCAAGAUCCAUAGAAUGUUGGGCUGCUCAGAAAGCCUAUGGGCCAAGAUAAAGUUUUAAAACAGUAAAGUUGAAUUAAUUAUUUAAUUCUAAUAAAAUGUGCCUAUAGUUUUAAAACCAAUUGGAAAAUUGGUUUGCUCAUUAAGUAGGAAUCAAGUUUGAAACUACCAGAUAUUUGUGAUCUUGAACUAUGCAGACUCGGCAAGCAGGUUUUGGAUGCAAAAAAUUCAUGCUUCUUUUGUAAUUCUUGUCCUAGUUUAGGUCUAGAGAAAAUGAGAAAUGCACUCUUUACCUAUUGAUAUUUACUCUCCAUGAUAAAAAAAAUAAACACUUCUGGUCCUCAAAUUUUGAUUUACAUAGUGCUUUAAUCUUUAAAUUUUAAUUCGUUAUAAUUUCUGACUCAAAUUAUAAGGCCCAUGACACAUUAACUUGUAGACUUUAAUUAGCUGUACUUUUUGGCUCAAGCUAGAAGAUAUGUGACAUUUAAUUGUGAAUUGUAAUAAAUAUCUUAAUUGAUGAUAUAUCAAUAAUUAAAAUACUAUAUUAUUUCAAUAUUAGUAAUUCAUCACUACUUAUUCAAAAUAAUUAGAUUACAUAACUUGAUUGUAAUAAUUCAGAAAACUUGAGCACUAAGAUGUCAUAUACCUCAUAGUUCGAAAUACAAAUUGUAAGCAUUUCAUAUCAAAAAUAAUUUAGGUCAUGUCAUUCAUACUAUUUUAUAUUUCAUGCAAAUCUUUCGCGUAUGAUGGUUGGAGUGUACAUCGUACACUCCUUUUGAGGUGUAUGAAUAGCAUUUCUCCAUUUCUUAUGAUAAAAAAUUGUCGCAUAACACAUGAAGUAUUUAAUAAUUUACAUAAUAAAAUUGAUCUAAGCAAAAUUUAGAAUCAAACAAUAUUUUAAAAAUUAUUAGUUAAUAAAAUCUUCUCAAAAUAUCUCUUUAUUUUCACAUAUCAUUUUAUUUUCAUUUAUUAUACUUGUUCUUCACUUUUGUUGUCUAAUGAUAUAAAUUUUGAAAAACUAUUUACAAUCUGUAUCAAACAAAUGUUUGUUUUGAUCGUUCUUUUAUAUCAGUUGCAAUGUCACUGUUGUUAUUGUUGUUAUUGUUGUUAUUUGGAUAAUAACUAAAAUCCUAACUGUUCAAUUCAAAUCUAUAUUUUAUAAAAUAAUUUAUUUUAAUAUUUUAUGCGAUGUGCAUUGCACGUGCACUAGGCUAGUGCUGACUAAAAAAGGCCAUGGUUCCGGGCUUGGUGGUUUACACAAUGGGGCUGCAACAGGGGAACCUUUUCUUGGUUUCUUGGAUGGAACCAAAAAAAAAAAAAAAAGUCUAAUAACUUAGAAAUUUGUACUAAAAAAUUUUUAAAAUAAUUGCUACUGCAAGUUUUUAUCUGUCAACACAUCAAUAAUAUGUAAAAUCAAUAUUACACGAAAUUCAAAGUAUUUUUUCAAGUAAAUCUUUUUUUUUGUUUGAAUGAAUAAAUGAAAGAAAAAGAAAUAUCUUCUUUUUCCCUUUCUCUACUUUCAUAGAAAACAGUUGUUCACCGUUAUAAGCGAUCAUUUUUUUUUCUCCUCAUGUGUUAUUCCCAACGAGAAAAUUUUUUUUUUUUUCUCCAAACUUUUUUUUGCCCCCUUUCCUUUGCUCUAGAUCCGGAGUGUAAAAUAAAUAGGAUAAUUGCCUAUAUAUUUCUCAUACGUUUGAAAAUAUUCAAUUUAUUCCUUUUUUUUUCUUUCUAAAAUGCCCUUCGUAUAUUCCACCGUUAUUGCAAAAUACCCUGCAGUUAUCUCCUAUUAAGAAUUAGUUUGGAAUUGAGGUCUAUCUAACGCUAUUAUAUAAAAUGAAGUUAAGAAAAAACAUAUAGGGAUAUGCUUUUGCGUUCUCCGGUGGGACCGCAGAAAAUGUAUCGUAACCAACUCAUCGCGAUAUGCGGAACGCAAUAUUACGUACGGAAACAAACAGGAUAUUUUUCCAACGUAUUUUCUCACCGCAUGUAACGCAAUCUCCCCGCAAUCCCAAACGAAGCCUAAGACUUAGUUUGGUAUUGAGGCCUAUCUAACGCUAUUAGAUAAAAUGGAGUUGUGGAAAAAGGAUAUGCUUCUGCGUUCUCCGGUGGACCGUAGAAAAUAUAUCAUAACCGAAUAUGCGUACUAGGGUAUUUUCCAACGUACUUUCUCACGGCACGUAAUGCAAUCUCCCCGCAAUCCCAAACGAAGCCUAAGUUAAGUUCCGUUAAACGUAAGUUAAAUAUCUACCACAGUUAAAAAAACUUAGAAUACCAAUUUUGCCCUUAACUUAAGGACAAAUAAGAAAUGCCCUUAACUUAAGGACAAAUAAGAAAUGUUAGUGACGGUAGAGGGGUAUAUUAGAAAAGAUCAAAAGUCAAAAUACUUUUUUUGCCCCUGACUUUAAAGGCAAAUAAGAAAGUUAGUGAUGGUGGAAAGGUAUAUUUAAAAGGGCAAAAUAGUAAUUUUACAGCGAUAACAGAGUUAAUUAACCGAUUUUAAUAGGGUAUAUUAGAAAUAGAUUGGAACUUAGAAAUGGUAUUUUCAAUAUUAACCUCCUAAGAGGAGUAAAUCGAAAAAUCGAAAACUUUUCAGAAUAAUAUAAGCAAGUGCCCCAAAAUAAAUCAUACCUAAACUUCCAUUUUGUAUGCAUCCAUGUAUUCAUUUAUUUAUUAAAUUUUUUUUUAUAAUUUUUAUACUAUACCAGCGUGGAGGUCGCGGAAGUUUAACGUGCACAUCGGAUCCAAUAAAGCACUUCUUUACGAGUACCUGAAGCAAAUAACAAAUGACAAUACAAUCCAUAAUCCAUAUUUCUAACCAAAUUUAUUUUUAAAAAUAAUAAAUAAAUAAUAUACUGUAUAAUUUAUAAAAAAUAUAAUAUAAUUAUUAUGCCUUCACCGCAUUGAUGAGAGAGAUUUCUUAUCCUAAUUUAUUUAUCAUAAACAGGAUAAAAUUUUAGUACGGAGCUCUUUAAUAAGAUAUUAUUAGAAAAUUUUGAUUCGCUGAUAUGUGUUUAUUUUUUCUAUACAAAAAAAAUUCAUUGAAUGUUUUUAAUAUUAAAAUUUAUUUUUUUAGAUUUUAAAAAAACUAUAAUUUUUAAGUAAAAAUAAAAUUAAUAAUAACAGCAAAUUACGGUUCCUUAACAAGCCGCAAUUGGGUUGAAAAUUUUUUUUUUCUAAAUUUGUGCCGAGGGAUAACGAGAAUACACUCCCGGAAAAUUAGGCAACGGGAAUUCCGAGCCAACUAAGCCGAGUGGGCCCCACGAUGUAUUAUCAGAUAUAUUUAUCCUAAAUUCACGGAUGCAAAUGAAUCCGGAUUAGGGGAGCUCCUAUCCCUUCUAUAGAAAAAAUAAUUCAUUCUGAAUCCGUCUCUAUCUAUCAAAUAUAUGAAGCGGAAGAUGAAAGAUUUUUUUCUUCCUUUAAUCCGUGUCGAGCCGUUAAAAAUUUGCUCUUAUCAUGAUCUGUCCCAAAGGAGACUUUAAGUGAGAGUCAAAAAUAAAAUAAAAAAUAAUCCGUCUCGCUCCGACAAAAAAUAGAGCAGGCGGUGAUGGAACACUCCCUCCCCAGUAUCGCCAUUUGCAUCCCUAGUCUUAUUGGAGAGCUUUGGAUGCCUAACCAUAUAUUAAUUUCCCUUCAAUUUAUAAUUUAUUAAAUUGACAAAAUUAUUUUUUAAGAAAAAUAUAAUUUUAGGAAAAAGUCAAAAGAUAUGAGAUGAACUCCUUGACAAGAUGUUGCAGACAAACUCUCAACUAUAAUUUUUUCUAGCUCUAGGCUCAUCCAAAUCUAUAUCUCUAUACCUAUCUACUUAUAAUUAUUCUUUUUAAAUUUGGCACAUGGUAAUAUUUUCUUCGCUGUUAGGUGUCGAUUCUAUCCCGAGCUGAUUCUCCUCCAUAUAUAUAUAUAUAGAUAAUAUAUAUAAUAUAUUAUAUAUAUAAUAGUAUAUAAUAAUAUUUAUUCUAAUUUGAACUAAAAUCGAACUAAUUUUUUUUUUUUGAAUCGACCAAUCAUAUCAGUGUCGGCUCUCCGAACUGCUCAAGCCUUUGAAUGUUCCUUUUUUGUUAAUCAAAUUUUUUUUUUUUUCACUGAACCGAACGCCAGCUACACCUCUUAUGAGUUUAACGUUCUAUUUACUUCGAUGAUACAUUUUUUCAUCUGCUAUAAUAAAUUUAUUUUAACAUCGGUUUUCUUUCACACUAUAUCUUUCAUUAGUAUUUUAACAUUUAUUUAAUAAAUAUUCAUACGCAAUCUAGGGGUAAAAAAAAGGACCCUUUAUGAUAACAACAUCCGCCCUAAGGAUUCGCAUUAAGAUCGAAAUGCAUGCGAACAUAUCACAAUAAUUGUUCUUUCCUCUCCCGAUUCUCAGUACACCGGUCAGAGCAUUUCUUCGCCCCAUUCUCACCCAUCGCACAAAAAUCCCCCCAGGACGAAGGAGCCGGAAGCGAACGUGUCAGCCCCGCCUCUGAUUCUCCUCUCUCUCUGCUCUCUCACACUCAACUCCGGAGUCCCCUCAAUUCUCAUCUCUUCGCUCCCCCCCCCCGCCCCCCCCUAAACGCAAUCAACGUUCCUUCUUCUCCGCAAACACCGACCCUCUCACUCUCUCUACUCCUCAUCUCAUUCUCUCUUUCUCCCUUUAAACCCCUUCCCUGCUUCCCGCACUCCACACGCAUUGCCAACGCAUUAUGUGUUUGAGCGAAUCUCGCCUCCCCUUUUCUCCCUAUCCCUCCGUUUACAUCGAAUCCCUCUGAAAAAGUAUGCUUUUUGCGACUCACUGGAAUUGGCGAUUCAUGGGAUCUCCGGACAGAGAGUGUGCGGUGAUACUGGUCGGUGGACCCACUAACAGGCUUUCUUUUUCUUUUUUUUUGAGAUCUCGCCCUAAUUCCGUUCCCAAACUGAGAUCUUGUUGAUGGGUUUUGUGGAUUUUGAAGUGAUCGUUGGGCCUUUGAUGCAGGGACGCGGUUUCGGCCGCUUUCACUGAACGUGCCGAAGCCGCUUUUCCCGUUGGCGGGGCAGCCGAUGGUGCAUCACCCCAUCUCCGCAUGCAGAAGAGUAUGUGAUGUGAAACAUUAGAUCAAUGCAUGUGUAAUUUUGCUGGUAAUAUAUUAGGAUCUUAGUUCCUUCCUUGUAGUAUGUUAAUACGUUGACUUGAAACUUGUAGAUCCCCAAUUUAGCACAGAUAUACCUGAUUGGGUUCUAUGAGGAGAGGGAAUUCGCGCUUUAUGUGUCGGCGUUAUCCAAUGAGCUUAGAGUUCCUGUUAGGUAAAAAUCCCUUUUUUGUGUGUGUUUGUAUUAACAUGGAUACAUGAAAGCUCUCUCCUUUGAAGUGUUUGAUCGAUCUGUUUUCGUUUAUUUGUUUUAGAUAUUUGAGGGAAGAUAAGCCACAUGGCUCGGCAGGAGGGCUGUACAGCUUCAGAGAUUACAUAAUGGAAGACAACCCGGUUUGAGAUCUCCUCGUGUUCUUUUAUUUGCUUCUUGUUAAUGUUAUAAAAAUAGAAGCAAUGUGAUGCAAAUUAAACUGUUUUGUUACUUUUAUUUAGAAUAUAAUCGAAGCAGCAACACUUCCACACUGCGAUGACAAGUUUUAACCAAGUUGUGAUUGUAAAUUUGUGAAGUUUUUCUUUUGUUUCGCAGUCUCAUAUAGUUUUGCUGAAUUGCGAUGUUUGUUGUAGCUUUCCCCUCCCAGAAAUGCUUGGUGAGUGUCUGAUGUAGCUCCAGUCUCUUGUUUAUCAAUGUUCUUAUACCUUCUUUAUUGCAGAAUAUUCGCUUUUUGGUAUGUAUUAUACUCGAUUGCAUAUUUGCAUGAUAGUAUGAAAUCCCUUCCUCAUCAUUUACCCUUACAAACUCCAUAUAAGAAAAAACUUCUCUUUUAGUUGCUUGAGUUAUACUGUGAAAAAUUGGAACACUUUUUAUUGUGCAGAAGAUUAUACUUUGCAAUUUUUGUCUAAAAUUAUACCAAUUUCAAGCUCUGUUAUGGUAUUUAAUUGCUUCAUUUCUCUCCGUGAAUGCAGAUGCCCAUAAAAGAUAUGGUGGAAUGGGUACUGUAUUAGUAAUAAAGGUGUGGGAAUGAUGCAAAGAUUGCUCUUGUCAAUUCUUAUCUGAUUGAUCUGUUACUGCCAUUCAUUUUCGAACAUGUGUGACUAAUUCCACUUGUGUGCAUGUUCAGGUAUCAGCUGAGUCAGCAAGCCAAUUUGGUGAGUUGGUGGCUGAUCCUGUCACAAAUGAACUGCUACACUAUACAGAGAAACCGGAAACUUUUGUGAGUAUACAUCUUCAGAAUCAUGUUACUUCUUGUUAGCUUUUGUUCUAGGAAGUUUAUUAAGUGACAUCACUCUAUCAUGGUUUUCACUAUGUGUAGGUGAGCGACCUUAUAAAUUGUGGUGUCUAUAUAUUUACACCAGAUAUCUUUAAUGCCAUAGAAGAUGUCUUUACAGAGCGGAAAGACAGAGGUAAAUGUGAAUGAAUUAUCGAAUAUAGCUUAUUGUUUAACUCUUAAUUUUACAUUUUCUGAAAGAAACCUGAUUUUUCGUAAUCUGAUAUUUCAGCUAAUAUACGACGCGUAACCAGCUUUGAAGCACUCCAAUCAGCAACAAAGUACUUACGAUAUGUAACUUUGUAACAUGUGUUAUUAAUUUCACAGAUCUGUUAUUUUACCAACAUGAAUUAGACUGUUGGUGACCUUUUUUCCAUUACUUUAUUUUCAACCACUAUUGCAUUUGUUGGAUUCACCUGGUCAUCCUACGUUGCACCUUAACAACAAGGUGUCAACGUGAUAGUAUGAUAUGGUCUGAGCUGGCAAUAUGCAGCGACUCAGAAUGUGCUUUGCCUCCAUAUUAGUGGUUUAAGGUUUCAAUUCAGCAUAUACUUACUUAUUUUUCUUGUUUGGUUAUUUCAAAAAAAUUCUUAAUUUAGUAGUUCCAUAUUGUUACUGCGAUUGAUCUGUUGCAGCUCUCUAGAUGUUAUUCAUGUCCGAGUUAGUUCUUUUCCAUAUAUCAUCUUGUUGAUGGUACCUUAUUUUCUUUUUGCUGAUCUAAUUAUUCUUUCAAAAUUUGUCGUUGGUAAUAAAUGUUUUUUGAUACGUUGCUUUCCCAAGAGAUGCUAUUGAAUAUACAGUAUCUUCUAGUUGAUACUAGUUUCUCAUAUUUGAAUAUUUUUCACAGUUCACUUUAGAGACUUGUAAUGGUGGGUUGGUUUCUUAUGGUUUCUUUCCCUGUAUUUGGCUUUAACAGGGCUCUUCCUGCAGACUAUGUUAGGCUGGAUCAGGAUAUCUUAUCCCCUCUUGCAGGGAAGAAAGUACUCUACACGUAUGAGACACUCGACUUCUGGGAACAGAUUAAGACUCCAGGGUAAAAAAAAAACUCUCCAGAUUUAUUUUCAAUUUUCCUAAACUAUUGUAUUGGCAAUAACUGGUGCUUUUUUAUGCACAGGAUGUCGUUGAAAUGCUCUGCCCUGUACCUUUCUCAAUUCCGCCAUACCUCUCCCCAACUUCUAGCAGCAGGAGACGGGGCGAGAAGGGCCACAAUCACUGGUGAUGUGUAUAUCCAUCCAUCAGCAAAAGUGCAUCCAAGUGCAAAGGUAGUUUGCUUUUGAGAGAUUUACAUACCCCUACAAAAAUUAUAUUUUUACAGAUCUUCCCCUGCAAUCUGAAAUUUUACAAAUGCUUCAGAAACUUUGUUUCUUUCAUUUAUAUCUGUGAACUUACCAAAGUCCCCCCCUGUAAGAAGACCUUUAAACUAACAUGAUCAUGCAAUCGGCUAAUGGAUUUUGUUCAGUUUUAUACCUAAAUCAUAAUGAAAUAUUCCUUGUGCUUUUACUUUAUUUAUAUACGAAAGUACAUGUAAUAUAUGUCUUAAUUGCAUGUAAGAAGAUUUAGUCAACCUACAUAUUUUGAACUACAUUACUGUUGAUAGCAAUGGGAUGUUAAUACAAUUAUAGUGAGAAUAAGUAGCAGCAGAUUAAUAUUAAAGAAUUACACUGGUAAACAUGAUCUAUGAUCUAGAACAUUAAGCAUGUCGACUAACAAAAAUACAAUAGAAACUAUCCAAUGUACAGGCAGUAUGGCUGCUCUUCCUGAAAUACUCUUAUUAGGCUGGUGUGAAGCAUGAAUUAUGAGGCUACCCAAUACAUAGACGAUAGUGCUUCAGAUAUGUUAUUUUGUGUAAUCAACCUUUUUGACCUUAGCAACAAUGCCUAGAAGAUCUUUAAAGUACUACAUCAUUUUAGGUCAGCACUUUUGUUUUUGUCCAAGAUCUUACUGUCUUGUUUUUGAAUACUGAUGUGUAGCUUUCAUUGAACAGAUUGGCCCUAAUGUAUCAAUAUCAGCCAAUGCUCGUAUUGGAGCUGGUGUUAGGCUUAUCAGUUGCAUCAUUCUAGAUGAUGUUGAAAUUAAGGUGUGUUAGAUUGGGCAUGGUUGAUGAAUGAGUAAUCAUUUCUUGUCAAGCUUGUUAAUAAGGUUCCUUUCAUUACAGGAAAAUGCAGUUGUUAUUCAUUCUAUUGUUGGGUGGAAGUCAUCUAUUGGGAAGUGGUCUCGUGUACAGGCAAGCUUACAUUUUAGGUUUCUACCUUGUGUUGAGAAUUUUAGAACCGCAAGAUUAUGUCAAUGUUUGUUCUUAUGGUUAUUCUUCAUUAUAAUGUUCUCGGGAUAUCAUAUUUCUCAAGUGGUUGUUUAUGUUCUUAACAAUGAACUUCUAAUUAAGAAUUUUACCUUUUGAACAGUUCCAAAUCCAAGUAGCAUUCAAUCUUACUUUGUUUUUCCGUAUCCAAGUAUGCCAAAAAGUCAUAUGAGUCCAACUCUUCAAGGCCCGCAAUACUGUCUAUAAUUAAUGAGAUGGCUGCAUUGGUCUUUUAAUCUUUAAUUUGCUACUUUGUAAAUAUUACAUUUGGUAUUAUCAGUCAUGUUGAAGCUUUCGUUAUCAGUCAUGUUGAAGCUUUCAUUGAUUAACAUAAUUACUUGCAGCAUCUGUUUUAGACUUGAUGUGGGAUUGCAUUCUCCAUAUUUCUUACUUGAAAUACCUUUUUGUAUUUAGGCCAUUAUUAUCAAUAAUAUACAUAUUAAAUUAUGAAUUAUGUCUUCAGUAAAAAUAGUUAAACAUUAGUAUAGAUUCUGUGAUGCAUACGAAUACUUAUGAGUUUUCUACUACUGCCUCUUGGUAAAGAGAGUCCUUUGUUUGUUUUGGAUCCAUUUAGUUGGAUAUAUUGCAGAAAGGGAUUAACUUCCUGUUAUAGUCUGGAUGUAGUUAGUCAAGAGGUUCCAAUUCAAGAAAGGCGUGACGAUGAUCCCUCCUCUAGAUUCUGACUCCUCCCUCAUGAAACUGUUUGAUUGAUUACAUACACAAGUAAUUCUGCGUGUAAUAAAUUCGCAAAAGUUCUCACUGCCCUAUUGCAGUGGUUUCUGAUGUUGAUGCUUUGAUUAAAAUUACCAUUUUUUUUGCCAGCUUAUGUUAAUUUGUGCUUACUAGCGCCAUGCAUUUGAAUUUGUAAACACUUUGUCAAUUGCCAGACAAAAACGUAGCAUAAGGUUACCAAUACUUCUCAUCAUUUUUCUGUUGUUUUUAAAGAUCCCGCUAUAAAUUGCAGGGAGAGGGAGACUACAAUGCCAAACUCGGGAUUACUAUCCUUGGUAAUGCUUGAUUUCUCUUCUCUUAUCUUCAACUGUUGUGUAUGAAGUGGAACGCAAAUGAAGGACUUUAGUCUAUUCAAACAAUUAAUCCUUUUGCUUCAAUUGCAGGUGAAGCUGUGACGGUUGAAGAUGAAGUGGUGGUGAUUAAUAGCAUCGUCCUCCCGAACAAGACCCUAAAUGUCAGCGUGCAAGAGGAGAUCAUCCUGUAACAGUGAAGUGACUCCCAAACAAAAUCUCAUAGAACAGCUUAUGGUUUUCAUUUUUGUUCAUUUAUCACUAUACAUCUUCCGAACUUUUGUAUUUCCUUUUCUUGAAGUUUUAGAGCUGCUGUUGUUACUUCUCUAGAGGUUGCUACCCGCCAACACAAAGGCUAUAUUUUUCUCCAACCUAUUUUAUGAUUAGAUUAUCGGAAUUGUAGUCUUGUAGCAUUUUGUUUAGACAUGUAAGUGAAUGAAUAAUAAGCAUCAGUGUUGGAUAUGUGUUGGAUUUAAGAUCUUGUUGUCUCCUUCUCUUUGAACUUUUCUUUUGUUUCCCUUUUUUUUCAAUAUAUUUUUAUAAAACUCAAGAGAAGUUCAUGUUAAUUUAUGCUUUCGUUUUCCUUCUUGUUCUAUACUAUUUAUUUUGGGGGGGGGGAGGAGCUUAAAGGUCUAAUCUUACCAGGUUGAGUAAAAAACUAGGUGACAUAAACUUCUUUUUUUUUUUUUUGCUGCAAAUCUAGUAGUAGAGAAUUAUUUCACCUGCUCUUCACAUGAAUGGUUAGUUGGGAGCAGGAAAAAUCCAUAUGAAUGUUCAUAAACUACCUUCCUGACUCCUCUAGGUGAAUACUGAUACUGUGACCACCAUUCCCAGGAAGCAAAUAAUGUGGAGGUACCUAGAAUAAGUUGCUUUUUAGUGGUCUAAUUAGUGUAAGAAUCAAACCUAAUUUACUGUCUAUUUUCAAUUCCAAAAUAGAUCCUGUAGCUUAUUGGAUUUAAACCUGAAUCUCCUCAAACAUGAUCAUAUGCUUGUAGUGUUUCUUUUUUUUUAUUUCACACCCAAAAGAGAAAAAGGAUUUAGAUUUCAAAUUCUUCUAUGCCGACCCUUCAACACCCUGUAGGGUUGGCCCUUUGAUGAUGUGAUGGAAUACAACGCCCGCGCGCUCUCGCGCGCGCGCGCGCACACACACACACAUAACCGCACAAAGAAAAUUCAAACAUUUGAGAUAUUAAUGCUUGUGAUUGGUGCAGUUUUACAUUUGUGGACCGUACUUUUAUCGGUCUUUUCAUCUCAUUUUAUAUUUCAAAUCUUGUAAGUUGCAGCUUAUUGACUUUGUAAAAGCUAAUAAUUGGAUUUUAACUAUAAAAUGAAAUGAAAAUGUUGAUUGGGGAAAGACACACACAUGGUGCAGAAGAAGAUAUCUCUCCAACAUUGUGUGGUGAAGUUCAACGAAGAUCAUGAUUGGGGUUGGAGAUGAUUGUACCAGCGAAUCAAACAAUAUCUAGCAAAAGAAAAGAAACAUGAAAAAGUUAUGGAUAUUCUCACUGCUGUCUUGUGGUUGCAAUUUAUUCCCUCAAAAGUUUUCACUUAGGCCUGUUUAGAUACUCCUAAAAAUAAAGCAUAGUUAAACUAUGCUAUGCAGAAAAAUUAUCCCUUGGAAAAAAAAAUAACGUAAUUUUUUGGAAGAAAAAAAAAUAAUGUAAUUUUUCAAGUAUAGUUAAAUUAAACUUCAAAAAAUGAAGUAAAAUUAUAAUCCAUUCUAACCAAAGAAAAGAAUUCCACCAUUUUUAAGCUUCCUUAUUCCAAAAAUAUAUCAAGCUCUAAAUUAUAAAUUCCAACAUAAAUUUUAAAUUUCAACCUAGAUUUAAAUUUUAAAUUUUAAAAUUAAAUUUUAAUUUCAAUUCUAAAUUUUAAAUUUAUAGUUUGAAUUUAUAUUCAAAUUUUUAAUUUUGAAUUUUAAAUUUUAAAUAUAAAAUAUUUAAAUUUUAUAAUUUCAAAAUUUAAAUGUCAAAUUUCAAAUUUUCAAAUUUAAAAUUUUGAAUAUUAAAUUUUAAAUUUUAGUUUUCAAAGAAUAAAUUUCAAAUUUUAAAUUUUAAAUUUCAAAUUUUCUAAUAUUAUAAUUUCAAAUUUUAAUUUUCAAAUUCCAAUUUUCAAAUUUUAAUUUUCAAGUUUCGAAUUUCAUAUUUUAAUUUUCAUGUUUCAAAUUUCAAAUUUUAAUUUCAAAUUUCAAAUUUUAUUUUAAAUUUAAAUUUUUAAAAUCUAAAUUUCAAAUUUCAAAUUUCAAAAAUUAAUGUUUCAAAUUUUAAAUUUUAAAUUUUGAAUUUUAAAUUUUAAAUUUUAAAUUUCAAAUUUCAAAUUUUAAAUUUUGAAUUUGAAAUUUUAAAUUUUAAAUUAUAAAUUUCAAACUUCAAAUUUCAAAUUUCAAAUCUCAAAGUUUCAAAUUUGAAAUUUCAAAUCUCAAAUCUCAAGUUUCAAAUUUCAAAUUUCAAAUUUUAAAUUUUAAAUUUAUAUUUUAAAUUUUAAAUUUUAAAUUUUUUAUUUCAAAAUUUAAAUUUUAAAUUUAGAUUUUUCUAUUUCAAAUUUGAGAUUUUAAACUUUCAAAUUUUAAUUUUUAAAUUUCAAAUUUCACAUUUCAAAUUUUAAAUUUUAAAUUUUAAUUGAAAUUUUAAAUUUUCAUUUUAAAAUUUAGAGAAAUUUCGUGGAAUUGCAUGACGCGCAUUUAAAUAGUUUAAAAAUUGAAUCCGUAGAAUUUUUUAGAGUUACAUGAUUUCCUAUUUCAUCUAGACCAAAAGCAAAGUUUAUAAAUUCCGUGGAUAUUUUUUACUGUAUAUCCAAACAAGCCCUUAGCGGGUGUUUGGUUAUAUGCAAAAAGACUCUGAAAAAUAAUUUUCAGUUGAAAUAUAUUUUGUUGAUGUUCGAUUCUCUGUAAAAAAAUUUUCUCAAAAAUUUUCUUUUACGAAUCCGCUGAAAAAUUAGAGUUUUCGCUUGCCCCUCUAUUCGAGCAGAAAACGGAAAGCUACAGGAAAAAAAUAGCAGGGCUCAUGCCUUUUUGCAUGCGGUCCUCAGGACCACCUGAGAGAGAGAGAGAGAGAGAGAGAGAGAGAGAGAGAGAUGAGCGGUCCUCAGACCAACCUGAAGAGAGAGAGAGAACAGUGCUCUCUCUCCUCCUCUUUGAUUAAUAUAUAUAUAUAUAUAUAUAUAUAUAAAAAUUGAGCUUAUAUUUUUAAAUAUAUGUUAUAUUGCUUGUAAUUUUUGGCCAUUGAAUUAAAAGAAUGUAGAUUAGAAUGAUUGGGUCCUUUAAGGUAGUGAGUGGUUAGUUGAAUAGUGUAAUCUAAUGAUUGAAAAUGAUCAAAAGACGUAUCUAACGUUAAAAACUUACAAGUAUCAAGAGCUUGAUGCUUUUACAAGCACCGUAGCCAGAUUCUCUCUCUCUCUCUAUAUAUAUAUAUAUAUAUGUAAUAUUUUAAUAUAAAUUAUAAUAAUUAAAUAUAUUAUGAUAAUUAUUAUAUAUUAAUAAUAUAUAUAAUAAAAAAUAUAUUAAAUAAUUUUUUAUUUUUUUUUUCAACCAGACAACCGUUAUGAAAAUCUUUUUUUUUUUCUAUGAACCAAACACUAAACAACCUAAAACUUUUUUUUUUCACUGAAAAUUUUUUACACCGAAAUUUUUUUUCACAAUUUUACGUGAAACCAAACACACCCUUAGUGUUUAUAUUUUCUUACGUUGCAUUCAUCCUUUGCUCAAUUUUUUUAAAAAAAAAGUCAGCAAGUGAUCUUGUCCCAUAAACCAACUAUAUGAGAAAGUCCAGGGACUGAAACCAAGUCUCAAGUACUAUCCAAACAUUUAAUCCAAAGAAAACAAAUUAUACCUAACAUAUAUUUAUUCCUCGUCUUCUCCAUUUGUUUUUUUUUUUUUUUUUUUUGAGAGAUAGAUAGCACGCUACCCGUUUCGUUUACUUCAUUUAAAAAUAAACUUAGCUGGAAAUAUGAAUCAACUAGGAUUCGAACUUGGGUCUCGGAUACCAACCAUCAAGUCUUUUGCCACUUGCUUUAGGGACAGCGGUGUCUCCAUUUGUUGUGGAGAAAAAGAAGAUGUGGAUGAGAAUCCAUGUUCUUUAUCUAGAUCUGUUUUCCUGAUCAUCAAUCCACUAGCAAAAAUAUCACCAUCAAAUUUGGCAUCACCAGCAAGUAGAAAAAGUAACCAAAAAAUAAAAAAAAUAAAAAUUGCUGGGCUUUUUGCAGGGGCCAGGGGGGUGGGACUUAAAGAGCUAUCCAACUAUAUCUUCUCCAUAGUUCCACCCCAUAAGCUACUUGCUAAGUACAAGUGCUUCUCCAAAAAGCAGCAGCUUCUGAAACAUCCUCCACUACAACAUGAUGCUCAAAGCUCCAUAAAAGAGCACAUCUCCAAUCAGAUAUUCCACUGGAAUAUUAGCAUGUAUUAAGCAAGUAUAAGUGCAACACCCACCUUCUCCUAAGCUUUACACCCAUUAUUAAUAUAUUAUGCAUGUGUAAUUUGGUAAUGGCAUAUCCACUCACCUUUGUGCUUUGAUUUAUACCUUGCAAUGUAAUCAGAAUGGUGUAAUGGCCUAAUGUUGGGCAUCCAUUACAUGGUAAAUCCUUUAUUAAUAAAUUUAGGGGGAAAGGGUGUAUGAUGACUUUGUUGAGAGCUCCCAAAAAGGAGCAACCAACCAAUGUGUUAUAAUAAAGAAUAAUCCCCAUCUUUCCAAAUUAGUUAUUGUACAUGUUGAGCUUAGUUUUCAAAGCAUCUUGAUUGUCGCGAGAAAAGAUGAUACCGGAAGCAAUUAUAUAAGGAUGAUGUUAUUGACAUAGCAAUACUUAUUAUUUCUUGACGAGAAUGUUGAAUCUGAUCAAAUUUGCUAGCCAGAUUCGUGUACUUAAGUCUAAGGACCUGGGAAAGGUUUGGAGGUAGAAAACCUGUAGCAGUGAUCUACCUAAGAAGCGAAAUCGUCAGAUUACAUAGUAGUAAUCUGAUAUCCUCAACAAGUGCAAGGUUUGGUGUGAACAGUAUAGACCGGAAAAACAAGAAUCAAGGAAAAUUCUUACCAUGGCAAGGACUGAAGUUCCUCCAAUGUGAACUUCAUGUUAUUCUCCAACUGUUGAAAGCAACCUACUCAUGAAAAGGACACCAAGAAGGAAAAGUAUUUUGGGCUUCUAUAUUGGGCUUCUUCUAUACCGUUAAUGUGUUGGCAAACUUAUAUGUUAUUUUUGAAUGUAUGAAUCUAUUAAUAGCUUUUACAUUAUAUGUUUGUCGACGCAUCGACAAUAUUUAAAGAUAGCAUUUUGGGAGGUCUGUAGAAUUACUGAAAACCGUCAAAAUUGUAAAGUAUGUUAUUAUAAGCAUGGGAAUAGUUAAAAUAUGAGUCUCAUAAUUGAGGUGAGGAAAGAAGGAAAAGCUAAGAUAUGACACUUGAUAGUAUUGCCCUUAGAUUGCGAACCUUGUAAUUUUGAUCCAUAGAAAUAAGUGGGUGUGACUGAAUGAAUAGGAAAUGAAAGUGAGGAAUCUCCAAUUUGGAAUUGGCAACAGUAAACAUGAAAGAGGCAUUGUUUAUGGAAUAACAAGCACCAACAAUGUGGGCCACUAAUAGGAACAAGAUAGGCACUGAACUGGAAAGAAAAAUCCAUGCCACUUCCAUUCUCCCUUGACUAGUUGCUCUCCUCUCAAUUAUUCCCAACACUUCUUAACCUCCUCUACUGCAUCUUUUUAAGUGAAACACUUCACAACCAAAAGGCUCAAGUAGACUUUCCAUUCUGCUUCCUCUAAAAGCUCAACUUAACAUAGUUUGUGUUACCCCAAAUGGAAAAUGAAGAAGUGGGGGAGACAGAAGGAAGCAGUAGUGGAGAACUCGGCAACAAUUUCGAUGGAGAAUGGUUGGAUUUAAGCCUUGGUGGGCUUAAUCAGAAAAGCACUUCUGACCCUCCACCAGCUAAAACAGCUCCUCACAAGACAUUCUCAUGCAACUUCUGCAUGAGGAAGUUCUUCAGUUCGCAGGCCCUCGGAGGGCACCAGAAUGCGCACAAGAAGGAGAGGGGUGCCGCGAGGAAGUCUCACCAGCUGUCGCAUAGGACGAUUGCAAAUUUGCCCGCCAGCACUCCAAUCCUUCAGUCUCUAAGAGUGCAUUCUCAUUCGAUGGUGCAGAAGGCGCCUAGAGAAAGCAGUGCAGUCAUGGUGGCGAGAUUCGGCGCGAUCGCGCCGGACACGAGGAUCGGAUGGGCCCCCUUUGAAGAAGAAACAGGUUUGAUGUGGCCAGGGAGCUUUUUAACAGAUUCUCAGCAGCUGAAGAACCAAACAGAGCAGCAAAAGCUUGAUUUGAGUCUUCGGCUUUAGCAUAUACUUUUGACAGGUGAGAAUUGCUCGCCGACCGGCUUUAGAAACGGCAAGAUGAAAGGGCCUUUUCAGCGAAUCGCAGUUUGGUUUCUGAUCUUUUACUUCUACAUGUUAGUGUCUAAACUUACCGAAUUUCUUGCGAUGUCAUAAAAAAAAAAAAAAAAUCUUAUGUUGUUCAGCUCCUAGCUAGAGAUUUUGGAGAAAAAUUCACCUGGGGAUGGCACUGCAAGCAAUUGGGUAGUUCAGUACUGUCUGAAAGAUCUGGGGCAUACUUGCAAUUCAUCAAAAGUUUAGAGACUACUCGUGCAUUUUACGUUUUUAGAGACUAACAGAAUAUGAUCUUCAGUCAACCAUUAGAAGGCUGGUUGCUAAUUGUGCACAAUUAUGUCAAAUGAAUAGCAAAUCGAAAGUUUGCAGGUGCUUCUAGCAAAUAUGACAACAUGUAGUUGUGAUUCAAUACUAGCCAUGUGCAUCAAUGGUUUAUAAACAAAUUUGAUAUUGCAGGAUCACCUGGUCCCCAAUCUCGCUUAAUUUCGAAGGCUCUGUUUACCGCUGUAAGAUACCGCUGUAAGAUAUAGUUCAGGAAGCUUAUUUAAUUCAAAUAUCGCACCAUCAAAACAUUAUAAUGAUAUCUACUAUUUUUAAACAACAUAAAAGAUAUGUAAACUGACAGUUUUGGAGCUUGUACCAGAAAGCAGCUUUGUUUUGAGAUUUCUCAUGAAACUCCUUCCUUAAUUCAUGUAACUUCUGUUAAGUCGCGAGCUCAACAUGUUAUUUUUUUUUCCUUCAAAAAGAUAAUUUUACCCUUCAAUUGUAAAAUGACAUUUCCUGCCGCAAAUUUAUACAAAAAAAGGGGGCAAAAUGGUCAUUUGAUAGACGGGCCACAUGCUGAAACCAUGAAUCAAUGAAAAAUGAGGUAAACUUAAGUGAUUGGCAGGUGAUUUGUCAAUGGACUAAAAGCCAGAAUAUCAGUUAACUACAGGAACUAUCCACACAUUUCGGGCGUUUUUGGUAGUAUCGGGCUCCAACUCAUCGUACUGGCAAGUUCAUUGAGCUCGACAUCACGCAGUCUAUGCAUGAAGUCAUGAGCACGCGCCGUGCACGAAAGGGGCGGUUUCUGAGACAAUUCUUAUGAGGGUCCCAGCAAGAAAUCGAUCUGUGCUGAAAUACAUUUCAGGUGCACCUCAAAAUCAUCGAUCUUCAGACUUUCACGUGCUCAAGACUUCAGAAAGCGAGUCCAUCCCUGCCAAACAUGCCCUUUACACAUAAACAAAAUUUUGUUCCCUUUGCACUCGAAAUGAACAUAUGAUUGGCUUGACAAACAUUCCACUACGUUAGUUACAAUUGCAUCAAUUCUAGAAACAUCCAAUAGAUACCUCUAUCUACUUUAGUUAUAAGCAUAUUACAAUAUGGCUAUAAUGAAGGAGUGGAAUAGCUUCUGCUGCAACUGGUUAUCCACUUCUUCAAAUAGCAUGUUAAUGCAUGUUUUUUUUUUUUUUCUCCGAGUUAAAAGAGGAAAACCUCCCAAAAUAUCAUUGCCAAAAUAAAGUUGUACAGAAUCUGAAAGCAAUAGAAAUUACAAAGCAACUCAUAAAUAGUUCAGAUCUUAACCUUGAUAUUUAAGACAACCCGAUAUCUCUAUAUUCGUUUUCUUCUGAGCAAAAAAAAAAAAUCUUAUACACUGCUGGCCAAACCAAUUGCUUGGUGAUUGAUAAAGAUCAACUGCAACCUGAGAAUUACUGCCAGUGCAGAGGUGCCUCAACCAUAUUGUGGCUUACAAUCUUCCAUAAUAACUUUUCUUCGUGAGAUACUUGCAUUAUUCUAAUAGCAUCAAUUAGACCGUAAUUCAAAUUCCAACUGGCCAAAUAAUUUUCUUUUGAAAGUAAAACUCCACCUCCCCAGAUCAUCAAGCCUCAAGAAAUGAAUCAGAACUUAAUAACUUCAUCAAAGCAUGCAAUUGCCACAUUGUAUACAUCACAUAUUCAGAGAUACAUAACAUGCAACUUCCACAAUGUAUGCAACCAUAUAGUAGAUAUGGAUUUUCUUUCCUUCAAAAUAGAUAGAUAUAUACAAAUAGAAAUUAGAGUAGCUUUCACUUGUCAAUUUGAAAAGUUGAACUACAAAAUUUUUCUGAAGCCCAAAAUUCUGCAGAAUCUACUCACAAGUCCAGAUCAUCUACAUCAACAUACCUCUCCUUUUCCGCACUUAGCAUUAGUUGCCUGACAGCUGCUUUGGUGGUGGAAACCAGAAAAAGCUUUUCGCCAUCAGAGAUUGUUCAAAGAUCACUUCUAUAAAGUGAUAAUAACUCCUAAAAAGCUAUCAACCAGACAUUGUCUGCAAAAAGUCGCAAAACUCUCCAUGCCUUUAUCUUCUAUAGUCUUUGAAGAAGGAUGGAGGAAUCUCUGAGCGAGGAACCAAGGUUGACACAGAUUUGAACUGUUCAAAAUUAGUGAAAAUGAAAUUAAACCAAACAAGACCCAACAAAACUACAGGUUGAGGGCCAAACUGAAAUAGACAAGAUACUACACAAAAGUGCUUAGUCUUACCUUAUGCUGCUUGUAUUUGUCUUUGAUGGCUUUCAAGGCAGAACAUUUCCUGUUCAAUUGCAAAUCAUGGAUUGCGGCAAUGCAAUCCCUUAGCUCAGAGGCACUAUACCCUGUGUUACUUUGGAGUGAUAGACUCUACACAAGCAAAAUUACCAACUAUUACCAAACAUGCCGCAGUAUACAAAUUAGAUGAGAAUUUUACCAUCAGAAGCACUCUUACCCAAGGUUGGGACCUUGGAUUAAUGGUGAAUCUCGCCAGGAACACAGAAGAAGCCGCAAUAACCGAUGGUAAGAACCGAACACAGCCAUAAUCCACCAAACUUAAUUCAGCAAGGUAAUUGCCCAAGAACUCCAACAACAGGUUUGGGUACUGCAAAUAAUUGAAUCAUCCAUUACAAAAGCAAAAUUCAGGAUAAAACUUCAAGUCCAGGAACAGUUGCCCAAAAAAACAAACAAUGUAGAUAAAAGAAGUAGACCAACUUACUUUGCAACCUUGACCAGCCUUUGUGAAUCUCCUAUAAAAGGAACGCAAACAUAACAACCUCAUUAAGUUUCAUGUUAUGCAAUUGAUGGUCCUAAAAACAAUCACAUAGCAUGACAAACAAAUAAAACAUAAUCAGGCCUAUUAGAGUAAACGACAGGUUUCGCCUUUUUGCCACUACACAGGAUAUUUGAGAUAAAUUGCCACAAUAAGCAAAGUUCUCUCCAGCAUAAUUGAUAUUGAAUUCGAAUUCUAUACCUCAAAAAAGUCUUUACGGUGGGGUCUCCCAUUUCAAAGUUGAGAAAUUUUAGAACCAUUGCCUCCAUCUUCACAACCUAAAAUCACAAAUGGAACAUGUUGUUUACUCGCAUAGGAAAAACCCAAAAAUAACAUUCGGCGAAGAUAGCUAAGAGAAAUCAUACCUCCUGCUUCGUGUAGCUAUUGUCGGUUAUGUAACAAAAAUCUUCGACAUGAGGAGGGCUAAUCUCUUCAUACUUCCUGCACCGAAAAAGAAAAGAAGGCGCUAUCAAUAACUAAUCGACCGCUCAAAAAAAACCCUAGAUGAAUACCAAGAAAAAAACGAGAGCUUUGACACCUACGAAGCUACGAGCAUGCAAGAAACUCCGAGAAGCUGCAGCUUCUUCCGAGCGACAGCAUGCAUUGAAAGAAACCUAUCGACAUAUGAGAUUGUGAGAAAAAGGGUAUCAGGGAGAAGUUUAUACUCCUCCGCAACGGCGACCAACCAAUCCACCAGCAUCCCCCGCAUAUUUUCCGUAAUAUCUUUCUGAAUUGUCUCAAUAAAGUUAGCAAUGGGCCUUCUCUUCGGCUCUGCCUAAAAGAUUCAUCAAAAUUACGAGGACCCAAUUCGAAUUAGACAAAACCCACAUGGAAUUGAGCCUAAAAAGUCCAAUUUUUUAGAACCAGACCUCACCUCCAAGGAUCGAAGGUAGUGAUAUAUAUCACCAGCGUAAUAAGAACAUAUUUGGGGAUCCUUCUCAUUAGAUUGAGUGGAAGGAGAGUUAGAGGAAGUGAGAGGUAAAGGAGCUUCCUUUUGCGCUGCCGCUGCCUCCAUCGCCUCCGCUGUCACCGCUGCAGCCUCUUCCCUUGCCUUCGAUCUCGUUCUUGGUUUGGAAAAAGGAGGGGGAUUGGGAGCGGGGGCGACAUUGGAUAGGUUCGGGAGCUCGGCCAGCGCCUUGCGCUUUCUCUUGGCCGGGGUGUGGAGGCGACGAGGUGGUGGCGCCGCAGCGGCGGCGGGGGCGUAGGUGGAGGUGGUGGCAUGCGUCUUCGCCGCCGCCGCCGCUGCCGAGGCAGCGGAGCGGGUGAGGCGGGCGCAGUUGUUCUCCUUGUUCGCCAUGGUCGCCCCUUCUCUGCUUCUUCGUUCUCUUCUUCUAUGGACACUGCGAUGGUUCGAAAUGGGGAAAAACUAGGGUUAGGGUUAGAGAGAGAGGAGAAACGAGAGGGUUAGGGUUUUGGAAUUUGGAUUUGAGGGGAAAGAAUGAGAGGAGGAGGGAGUGGGGGAGGAGGGAAAGCGCCAUUUUUACAAAUUCGAAAGUGCUGUUUGUUUUGAGCGCUUAAAAGAAACUAAAAUUUUGGUUAAAUUGUAUACACACCCCGUAACCUUUAAUUAUUUUGAAAUUCAGCCCUUAAUUUUUUUUUAUUUGAUUUACAUCUCUCUACUUACCAUCUAAUUUAGCUCAUUUCAUUAGCAAUUUGACUAAAAUAAUUUUUAAUCAUGUGCAUCUCUUAUGAAAAUUUAUUCUGAUUUCUAACCGAAUCAUCAAAAUUAAGAUACUCAAAUAAUUAAAGAAAAACAUCAAAUACCAUCCCUGUAAUUUCUCACUUUUUUAUUUUAGUACAUGUGGUUUAAAAUAUAUCAAUUUCGUGUCCCAUGGUUUUAUUUUUCUCUUUUUAUUAUCCCCCACUAAUUUUUUUAGUUAAAGCAGUGAAAAAAUUAAAACUAAAAGAUAUUAAAGUAAAUACUCAAUAAAUCUAGAUGAAAUAUCUAAAAUUUUUUAUAUAUAAUUUAACGAAAUGUUAACGGAGGAGCUGAUAGAAAGAAAAAAAUAAAACCACGUGAUACUUAAUUGAUACAUUUUAAAUCACAUAAUAUUAAAGUGAGAAAGUACGAAACCAUAGAGGUGAUAUUUGAAGUUUACCCAAUAAUUAAUAAGUAGAAUAGAUAUAAAUCAAACAAACAAAAAAUUAGAGGGUCAAUUUCAAAACGUAUUAAAGUUUAGGCGGGUGUCUUAUACAUUUUAUGAUUUUAACCUAAAAAAUUUGAGAUUCGAUUCGAUUGGUCACUUUUUUGGGCGGAAUUUAUUUUUGAUUUCGACUUUUUCAAAAUUUGUUUUUCCCUUCUUUUUCUGUGUAGAAAAGGGUUCGUAUUUGGAUAUUUUUGUUCUCUUUUUAUCUUUUUCGUUGUUGAGUUUACAAAUUAGUAAUGUUGGAAUUUGAUCCAUUGCGACGAUUUUAGAUAAUAAUAAUAAUAAUAAUAAUAAUGCUGGGGAUAGAAAUUUUGAUCCAAACCAAUUGAGUCAAUCAGAUUCGAACCGAAUUAGAUCAGUAUUGGUUGAUUUUGAAUAAUCCGCUUUUGGUUGAAAGUUGUUUAAUUCAAAAUAUAUAUAUCUAUAUCUAUAUCUAUACUAUAUAUAAAAGCACGUAUUUUAAAUUUUAGUCUAUCGACAGGCCUAUUUCAGAAUUUAUCCUUUUUCGUAUGCAAAAUAAAUAACAUAACGAAACUUUUUUUUUUUCUCCAACUAUUAAUAUUUAUUUUUUAUUAAAUUUUUUAUAAGUCAAUAUCUUUUCUUUUAUGAUAAAUAUUUAUAUAUUAUUUCUAUUUUUAUCUACUAAUAUUUUUUUAUUAUAUUAAUUUUUUAAUUUUUAAGUAUUUGAAACUUCUAAAAAAUAAAUUUAGUAAUUUUUCGAAAUCAUAAUAAAUUCCAUCAAACGGGCGUAAAAUGAUGGUCAAAAUUAAACGACGUUCUAAAAAUGGAUGAUCGGAUUCUUUAAUUUAAAAUCGGAGUUAUUGAUCUUUAUCUAGGUAGUGAAUAGAAUUUUUUAGCAAAAAUUCAACAUAUUUAAAUUUUUUACACUGUUAAACUAGCAAGUAUCUCAUACUGACAGUUAAAAAUUGUCAAUUUUGUGAGCUUUUAAUCGUAAGGUAAAUGAUGUCAAAAAAUUAUGAAAUUUGAUUUUUAGAAGUUUUAAAUACUCUGGAUAAUAUUUAAGUGUAUGGAUCGUCGAUUCGAAAGUUCUAUCAUCAAAAACGACUUAUGAGUACGAGAGCGAUCAUACUCAUAAGAGUAUAAUAGCUGGCCUCGUAUAUAUAGAGAGAGAGAGAGAGUCAGGCUACUAUAUUAUUGAUAGCACGAUGGCCUUUGCACUACUAAGUUGUUUUUAAUAAUACUGUUUCUAAAUCGACUAUCGGCUCCGUUAAAUUUGAUCUAUACUAUUAAAAGUAUUUAGAAAUCAAAUUUUAUAUUUUUUUCGAUAUUAUUUGACUAGUGAUCAAAAUAUCUCAAAAUUGAUAAUUUUAAUGGGCGAUAUGAUUUGUUUGUGAAUUUAACGGUGUAAACAAUCAAAAUCUGAUAAAAUUUUUAUAGAAAAUUCUCUUCACUAUUUAAAGUAAGAUCAGUAUCUCUUAUCUUAAAUUCAAAUCUUUUAUCAUAAUUUGUUAUGAAAUUUUUAUUUUCAGAAGUUUAUUUUUACACUAUUCGUUUGAUAGAUAAUGAUGUCAAAAAUUUAUGAAAUUUAGUUUUCUAAUACUUUCAAUAGUGUAGAUUAAGUUUAACAUAGCCGAUCGUCGAUUUGAAAGUUGCAUUAUCAAAAACAACUUGAUAACAUGAAGGCUCGUUUGAUAGAUAAUGAUGUCAAAAAUUUAUGAAAUUUAGUUUUCUAAUAUUUUCAAUAGUGUAGAUUAAGUUUAACAUAGCCGAUCGUCGAUUUGAAAGUUGCAUUAUCAAAAACAACUUGAUAGCAUGAAGGCUCCGUGUUACCGAUAAUAUAUCGACGUGACCCUCUCUCUCUCUCUCUCUCUAUAUAUAUAUAUAUAUACACACAC
rnacentral:lncRNA from 1 species